rnacentral:lncRNA from 1 species
UGGGUCUGCCUCCUGAGAGUGUGUGUUAAAAAAGGGUUUAGGUAUAAUCAUUAGGUUAUGAUUAUAAGAUUCAAGAGUCAUCACCUAGUAUUAUGAUUACUGAAAAAUCUAUGGUCUGUGAGAAUCUGAGUAAAUGAUUGAUUGUGCAAAGGAAAGAUGCAUCACUCCUAGUACACCCUACCUAAGAUAUGCUUCAUUGUUGUUUAAUUGUUUUUCUAUAUCAUAUUUCUAUCCGUUGGUGUUUUUCUAAGGUCCAACUUAGAUUUUUUUUUCAUGAGGAAGUCUCUAUCUUAUUGGAUUAAAGCUUAACUAUUCUAAAGCCCAAAUUUUAGCAUUGUAUUUAUUUCCUAAAUAUAACUAAUUCGUGACAUUUUUAACAAAAUAAUUGUUAUGUUUUUUUUUUUUUUGUAUUUUGGACAAACCCUAAUGUAUAAUAUAAACUGGUUAUGAUAUCCAUUUUGCAUUUUAAAACAUGAGAAAUAUGCAAUUUUUGUUUUUUUUAAUGAAAAUAUGGUUGGAAAACUUUUAGGAUUUGACCGUAUGCACGAAAACAAAACACUUUUUUUUAAGAGAAAAUUAAUUUAAUUUUUUUCAAUUUUAAAUUUUUUAGAAAAGUUUUGGAGAAAAUCAGGUAUUUUAAUACUGGAUUUGUAUCUUACAGUGUAAAUAUACUGCCUAAUAUUAUGCAAAAUAGUUGGAAAAAACAUGUGAGGAUCCCAUAAAUAUUUUUAAAAUGCCCUUUGGAAAACAUGAAAUUUUUUCCCUUUUUAUAAUAUUAUUAUAUUAUUAUUAAAUAUAUUGGGAUAGGCGUGGCUCAGCUGAGUCAGGUUGGGUCAGCUGUGGCCCAACAAACCUAGCCUUUCUCUCCUUUUACAUUGGGUUGGGCCGCUACAGGUUCGGCCCAGGCUCACAUGGUCACUGGCCCGGCCCAACGACCAUGUUAAUCAUUUGGCCAUUGCAUGCAAAAUCAUGUAACGCCCACCACGAGGAGGGGGGGACAUGAGGAGAAGGAGGAGAAACCUUGCCUGGCCAGAGGUAGAUGAUUGUUGGUGGCGUUCCUGGUGGUGUAGGGAAGACCAAGGUGUGGUUGGUGGUGGCUGAGGCGCAACGGAGGAAGUAUGAGAAAACCGGUUGAGAGAAGAAAAAUAGGAAACUAGGGAGAAGGCUGAUUUUUUCACAACUUUGACCUCCGAUUUCUUGAUGCUCAAAUCUUGGAAUGCACACCUAUUUAUAGGGGUUGAAAGAGAGACAUGUUGUCUUUACUGGUGCCAAAUAUUGACUCUUGAUUCGAACUGGAAGGAUCUUAACCGUUGGUUCAAAGUUGCCAUCAUGAACUGUUAGAUAUUAAUAACUCAAAACUGCCUAAGUUGGCCUUUUUGGGGCGGCGCUAAGGCCAUUGUGGUGUCAAUUGGUCAGAAAAAACCAUAAUGGGGUAUGAUAAAAUGUCAGGCCAUCAUUUUGGUGUUUGCUUUUUUUUGGUUUGGUUAAAAGAUGAAGCAUGAAAUGAUCUGAAAAGAUGGCCACCCGAGUAACUUUCGAGUGAAAAAAAGAAAGAAGAAGAUGAAUAUUAGAUCAGACGGCGCGUCGUCUGAUUUGUCUUUUAUUUUCCAAAUGACGUUGUUUUGGUCAAAACACUCCAUUUUAUUUAAAUGAAACGAUGUCUUUUUAUCUUUUAAGGUUUUAAUUUAAGGAUUUAACAAAAGUUCAAUUUAGUCCUUUGACUUUUGAUUUCUUUUAAUUGCAUCUCCAAUUGGUCUUGACUUUUAAUUUUAUGUAAUUUUGCCCCUGAAAAAGUUAAACAUCGGCCUCGAAUUUCAGCGUCUUUUUCAUUAUGGUCCUUGGUUUUAGAUUUAUGUAAAUCGACCUUUAAACUUUUAAUUUUCUUCAAUUGAGCCCCUGAUUUCAAUCAAUUAAGCCCCUAUAGUUCGGCACAUUUUGCAAAAUGAUCAUUGGUUGUGAAUGUUUUCAAUUUAGUCCUUAAGUGUCCUCAAACUUUUGAUUUUCUUGUGAUUUACCCCUGAUUUGAACCAAUUAACAUGGUAAAAAUUAAAUUUGGUGUUCUAAAAUUCAAUCUUCUCAAUUAAGCCUAAAUUAGGCUCCCAAACUUAAGUUUUCACCAAUUAAGCCCCUAAUAAAAUUAAUUUGACCCAUUUAAAGUAUAAUUAAGUUCUUGCACCUAAUUAAAUCCUUUAAUUGGACCCAAAUUAUUUUUUAAACAUAAUUAAAUUCUUAAUCUGGCUCAUGAUUAAAUCAAAUUAUGUCUAUGGGAUUAAUUUUUAUGUAGAUUUAUCCAAUAAUCAUUUAAUUUGAUAUUGCGUCUGUAUGGUUUCUCUAGUUUUGACAUAAAGGGGUACAAUGAGGCUUCUAAUUCUUUAAAAAAUUCAGUUGAUUUUUUUUGUAUAUUUGAAAUCCUUCUUAGCAUGCCUUUGCCAAAAUACCAGUCUUUUAUUAUUAUUAUUAUUAUUUUAUUUUUUUAUUUUGGAAAGAAAAAAAAUGUAAAUUUGGGGAAUAACUCAGAAAUGGGUUAUGACACCACAUAUUAGUUUAUGAAUCUUAUCAAAAGACUUUGCUAAUGUCCGAUUGCUAUUAAAUUUUAAUCAUAUAUAAAACAAAGCCAUCUGAAAUCUUUUGAAAACAACUUAGCCUAAUUCAAUGGUCAAAUUGAAAGUUAUCCUUAUUAGUAUAAAACUAUUUAUUAGAAAAAUAAGCCUAAAUAUCGCCUCAUAAUAUCCUGGUAGAACAUGGACUCCUUAUGAAUUUAAUUCACACAUCAGAUAAGAAUUAUUAAGUUGUCAAACUUAUAUAAUAUGAACUCCUUUAUUGCUAUAAAUAUUUCCUUGUAAAAUUUAGACUUUUAAAACUGUCAAAGUUGCCAAAAUCUUUCUUUGAAGAAAAAGGAUUACUGAUACAUAAGGAAUCCUUGCAAAAUAAGGAAUUUUGUUGGCAUAUUUCAAUCCUAACUUCAAACAUGUCAUUGUCUCUUGUCUGGAUGAAUUAUUGACCUUACCAUAUGAUGCGAAUCUCUUGAUCAUGUAAUCAAGCAACCCCUAAAAAAAGUUAAAAAACAACCUGGAAAGCUAAAAAUCAGGUUUGAUAGAACCUUGAUCUAGAGAGAACCCUGUACCUAUGAACAAAAGGUAUUAAAAUAAACUUAGACCUAGAGAUAACCAUGUACCUAAGAACCCAAAGUAUACGAAUGCCACCACAAACCCAAUUAAUCUUCGAUAAAUCAGAUGUACGAUCUUUGUCCCUAAAAAAAAGGAUGUUUUACCACAAACAAUCAAAAGGAAAGAACUCAUGUUUAUUAUCACCAAGCUAUCAAGAUUUGUAGCUUCAAAAAUAUUAUAUAGUCUCCUCUAAAUAACUCUAAUGGAUCCUUUUUCGGUUGUAAGCUAUUGAGCCCAAAUUAGAAAUCAACUAAACCCCUAAACAAUGUCUAAUGGAAAAAAAACUCAAAUUAAAAAUAAUUAUUUAACAUCAAAUAUAAAAAUAGGAUAAUAAAAAUAAAGUCUUCAUGCUAGAAUUCCUCCAUGUAGCCAAAAUCUCUAAUCUCUCCUGAGUGAUAUUUUGACCGAAACUUUUAAUGUAGGAAUUCAACUAGGAAACUUUGUUUUGAUUGCUAAAAUUUCAUUUUUUAUAUUUCCUCCUCGUAUGAAUACCUUUAGAAUAAGGAAAGAAACUCAAAAGAAAGAUCCUUUUAGAUAUUGUCAUAUCAAAUCCAUGUGGGACUUAAAAUCCUUGCAAAGUAUGGACUUCAAUUCUUUUAUAAAUCCAAGCCAUAUUAUGAACCCUUAUAGCCUAAUCUCAUGCACAAGUUUAGGGCCUAAAUAAGCCUUAUUUAAUCUCUUUUUUUCUGUCUAAAACCCAUUACAAGUCUGGACUGAUUGAGUUGAAAAUAGCCAAGAAAAAACACUUUAUCAAUGAAUCUGCCAAAACAAUAACAACAACUUUGACCAAUUUGAAUAAUAUGUUCCCAAAAUUAAAUUGACCUUAAAUUUUACCACAAUAUAGUUUCAUAUGUUUAGUACCUCCCUGUAAAUUUUGAGCUUGAUCCAAUUUACUUUUUGUGAGAUAUUUCCUAUCUUGCAAAACUAGUUAAUAAUCAUUUUACAACAAAAUUCAAACCUAACUUUGUUUGUAUCAUCUCCUCUCUUCAAAAGGAUUCGUCCGUGAAAAUAUAGCAUGAAGAUCAUCCCCUAAAGAAAACAAACCAGUAUCAUAUCAGGAAAUAACAUCAUCAUCAAAGCAUGAAAGAACUUUGUUAGCAAAAUAGGUUUCCUUAAUAUACAAGUUUUCAUUUUCAACCAUGUUCCCCAUCUUCAAUUUUAGUUGCUCAUCAUAUAUUUGAUUAGGUGUUAAAGGUACAAGAGUUAUAGGCCUUCCAUCCAUCUCAAAGGAAUAUCUAUUUGUCAACCCAUCAUGUAUAGCUCUUCCAUCAUACUGUUAUUGUCUGCCAAACAACAAAUAACUAACUUACAUUGGCACAAUAUCAUAUAACACCUCAUAACAAUAUUUACCAAUAAAAAAAGCAAUUAAAACCUAUUUAUUCACCAUCACCUCAUCAUUGUCAUUCAACCACUGUAAUUUAUAAAGUAUGUGAUGUUUGGUAGUGUGCAAGUUCAACUUUUCAAUCAAUUCAAUACUAGCUAUAUUAGUGCAACUACCACCAUCUAUAAUUAAGCUAUAUACCUUAUUCUGAACACGACAUCUCGUGUGGAAUAUGUUCUCCUUCUGAUCUUCUAAAUCAUCUACCUUGACAUGCAUAUUCAGUGCUCUCAUCACAACAAGUGUUUCUCUCUCAAUUUGAUACUCAACAUAAACAUCAUUAGUAUCCUCUAAUGGUGACAUCUUCUCAUCUCCAUCCUCCCAUCAGUCUGAACCUUAUUAUUGGCUUUCAUAACCAUGACUCUUUUGUUUGGACACUGUGAAGCCACAUAACUAAAACUCAAACAAUAAAAACAUUUAAUAUCAUAGUUAUAAGAAGUAAAAGUAUCAUUAUUCCCUUUACAAGUGGCCAAGAUGUAUUUAUUCUCUCUAGGAUAUUUGACUUUGCCCAUCUCAUUUGGUUGUGAUGGACCAACCUUAAUGUUAGCCUUUCAAUUAGGUUCCCAGGGUGUUAAAGGGCCUAACAGUUGGCUUUGCCAAAUGGUACCCUUCCGUUUAAGAUGGCUCUCUAUCUUCAUGAUAAUAUGCAUCAUCUCUUCCAACUCCAUAAUAUAAGCUAUAUCAUUAUUAAGGUCAUUCAUAAAUCUAGUCAUAGUAGUCUUUUUAUCCUCCUUAACAUUAGCCUGAAUCAUAAUAAGUUUAAUCUCCUUGAAGUACUCAUGAACACUCUUUGUACUUUGGCUUAAACUCCGCAACCUUUGAUACAACUCUCUGUAGUAGUGGUUAGGCACAAAUCUCAUUCUCAUAAUGGAUUUCAUCUCAUCCUAAGUAUCAAAAUUCCUUUGGUGAUGCAUCACUAAUUGAUCCCCCUAAAAAAUAGCAUAGUUAGUAAAAGCAAUCACAACAAGCUUGAUUUUCUCGAGCUUCCGAUAAUUGUGACACUAAAAAUCUACUCCACUUUCUUUUCUCACUCUACAUAAAUUUCUGAAGUAUUUUUCCCCUAAAAAGCCAAUAUUUUCAACUUAAUUGUAUCUAAAUCUCCACCAAACUCAGCAUUAUGGUCACGACACCUAGAAUUACCCCUCUGGUCGAAAUUAUCAUCAUAUAAAUCCCCUUCAUAUCAAUGAUCCCGUUGUUAUCCAAAUCGUUCCCCAUUACCCACGAACACAUUAUCAAAAUCAAUAUUACCCAUGUCUGUAUUAUAAGCCACAAACUCAUCCAUAUUAGUGUUAACUUGCCUAACAACCCUCCUAACAUUAAAUUCUUUUUUAUCAAGCCUAUUUUGAACCCCACUAUAACCAUUAGCAUGUUGCCUUACCAACCUAUCUCCAAAUUCAUCGGCUAUUUGAUCCAUUCAUUAGUUCAUGAAAAUUCCACAAGAGAAAUUGCAUGAAAAUUCCACAUAUAGCUCCAGAUGUGGGUCAAACAGUACACAAAGGUCUAGUUUGACAAAUUUACAACUUCUUAACCCAAAUAUUCAGAAUCAAACCAAUCAAUUUCUCUUGGAUCCUCUUAGUUUUUGAACUUUUAAUAUGAUCAAUUGGUACCUCUAAUAAAUUCUUUGGUGAUGCUCAUUGAUUUCCAUCUUUCGAGGCUUCAUAAGCCAAAAAAGUAGGGUUACAAGGUCAAUUCUUCAGUAGGCAUGACAAUCUCACCUAAACCUAAUGGAUAUAAAAUUUCUAGAUCCAAUUAGGUUUAGAUUCAAGUUUGGGUAAAACCUGAAGGUCAGGUUUGGUUUGGGUAUAGAUGUUGGUCUACCCGACCCAAAUCCGAACUCGACCUGAAAUAAAUAAUCUUAAAUUUUGAGAAAAUUACAUGUAUACCAAGAUAAUUAUAUACUAAAUAGUUUUAAAUUAUAGCAUUCAGUUUUAAAUUUUGGGUUCGAGUUUCGAGUUCAGGUCGAGUUUGAGUACAUAUAGUACAAAACCCAAUCUAGAAAUAUCCAUUGUCAUUCCUAUAUGUCUUGUACUCACCCUGCUUCUUCGUAUAAUGAUGGGAAUGUUAAAAACUCAUAUUUUUUUUUAUAUUUUUAUGGUCUAAUUUUAAACAAAUUGGUCUACUAAAUUAUAGUUUGACUGAAUAAGGGGUUUGUUUAAAAACUCAUGUAUUUUGGGUUAAGAAAAGGUAAUUCAAAGGAAAAAAAAACCUUUUAAAUCAGAGAACUAAUUAUCCAGAUUUUUUAUACCCGACGUAAAAUAUUUUCACUAUUUGAUUUUAUUAAAAUAAUAAUCAACAAUGUUUAAUUUUUAAUUUUUUGGUCCUUUGGUUUUUUGUCUGAUUUUCAUUCUUUUUUUAUUCCUUUAAAGUUGCGUUUAUUUUGAAUUGGGUCUGCUGGUUUAUUUUGGCUACUUAGCUUAUGAGAUCUCACGAUCCUAAAAAAAACAAUUUGAUGCUUGGUUGAUGCUUAAUUUAGAAAAAUCAAAUGAUAUUUUAUUGAUUUGAAAUAAUUAGAGCGUGAAGAUUGAAUGUGAACAAUAAACAAAUAUUCAGCCCCUUUAACUUUAAAGAAUAAAGGGUUGAAUUGUAUGGGUAGGGAAAAGAUUAACAUUAUUUUUUUGGUCACUUAAUUUUUUUUUCAAUCUAAUCCUUUAAUAUUGAAUUUAUUGGAGAUUGGACUUAAAAAUAUGUUUUUGGUUGCUUAGAAAUAGGGGUCUCGUGAUUUCAAGGAAAAACUAUGAUGUACAGUUAAUGCUUAAUUUUGUAAAAUAAAAUUUAAUUUUAUUAAACUAAAAAAAAUAAGCUUAAGGGACCAAUUUUAAAAUUCAUAAAAAUUAUAGGGACUAGGGUCAAUAGGCAAUGGCAAAGAGGUUGGCAUGUGCAUUGCAUGCUUCAACAUGUAAAGGAAGUCAUCGUGCUUUUACAAUGCGUACAACUUCCUCUAGUGUCGAAAUGUCGUAAUCCUUAAUUUCUCUAGAAGCAUCCCGGUAAGGCCAUCCCAAUGAUGCAAUGAUUCUAGAAAAUAGAGGCGUGUGACAGCUAAUUUCAUUUAUUUUCUUCUCCUUGCACUUUUCUCUCUUUUCUCAUUGGUUCCAUGCACAUUCUCUUCAAAAUAGCAAAAGGUCCUAUAAUUUUAUAUUUAUAUUAAUUUUGGUUCUUAUUCUUUUGAUUGUUGUUCAUUUUGUUUUCAAUACCAGAAAAUUGGUAAAUACAAACAGAAACAAUGAUAGAAUAUUUUCAUCAGUAGAUUGUAGUGAAUUUUACCAAUAGAAUAUUCCCUCACCUAUAUUAGUCGGUAAACACCGAUAUAAAUAUUCUCUUGGUAUAUACCGAGAGAAUUACAGUGGAAAACAAAGGAAUUAAAAAAACCAAAAAGUACGAUGACAUGUCAUUUAUACAAACGAUAUUACCAAUUGAUUAAUACCGUUAGUAAAAUUCAUCCGUAAACCCGUCAGUAAAUUAUUCUCUUUUCUUUAGCACUGUUCAUUAUUUUAAUUACAAGGGGUAUCAUCGAUAAAUUAAUUUUGUUGGUAUAUUCCUAAGAGCUCUAGAACUGUUCACUUCUCAAUUACAUUGUUCAUGUUUUUUAUUACAUACAGGAUCACCGACAUAUGAAUUCUGAUGGUAUUUUCUUGAGAGUUUUGGAACUGUUUACUUCUCAAUUGAAUUGUUAAUUAUUGUUCUCUAUAUAUGAAAUCACCAAUGUAUGGAAAAGUCGUCAAUGAUAUUUGGAGGGUUUCUGAAAAUUCUUGAUUAAAUUGAAAUUUUAAAUUAAAUAUUAUAGAUGAAAUCACCAACAGAUUGAAAAGUCAUCGAUGAUAUUUGGGGGGUUUCUAAAAAUUUAAAUUAAAUAUUACAGAUGGAUUCACUAACGGAAUGAUCAAAAAUAUUAAUAUUUAAUUAUCUAUUAAUAAACUCAUCGGUAAAAAGCCCCAGUUAAAAUACUAGAAUCCCUCAUUUCAUAAUAGAUGCACUCUUCUUCUUCUUCUCCUCUCUUCCCUUUCUAUAAAAAACACCAACAUCCUUUUAUUUCUUUCUCUUCUCUUAUCUUUUCUUUCUCUUCUCUUAUGUUCUCUUCCACGUGCAAGUAUGUCUUCUCUCCUUUUCUUUUCUCUUCUUAAUUUUUUUAAUUAACAUACUUUAUGAAUUUAUUUUUUCUUUUCUUUUCUCAGCUUCACUCACAUUUAAAUUAAGGUCAGAUUUUUUUUCCUCUCUUUUUUGUGUUUUUUUAUUAUAUUUAUUUUAUUUUUAAAUUUUUCUAUUCUUAAUAAUUGUAUGAAUGUUGUUUUGGAUUUUUUUUUUUCAUAUGAGAUCAAUUUUGUUGGAUUUAUUUUAGCUCUUAAUUUAUUUUUUGCUGGAUUAUGGGUUCUAUAAUAGGUUUUCUAAGUUAGUGUUAUAUAUUAUGUUUGGAGUAAGUUCUAGUUAACUAAGAGUAGGACAAAAGAAAUUACAAACCUAUUAGUUUUAGAACUAGUUGUGGAUUUGCACUACACUAUGGGGUUAGGUUUUUUUACUUUGUGUUAAAAAAAAUAAUGUUUAGGUGCUACAGGCGCAUUUUAAAGUAGGAAGAAAAAUUCAUGACUCAGGUCAUAGAUCUGAUCGGGUAAAAUAAAUUGUUUUUAUUUUAAUUAUAUGAUAAUAAUAUAGGCAACGACAACAGAUGGACCAAAUUAAAAAAAAAUUAUCAAACUUGACAAAAAUAUAUUUUUUCAAAAGAGGACAAACAACAUAACUUAAUUCUCAGCCAAUUAAAUAUAGAAGGAAAACAUUGGGUAAAAUAAGACAAAAAAAGGCCCAAGUCAACCCGAGUUAACAUAAUAAACUUGUAACCCGAAUAAUAAGGGUUGAGUCAAUCCGGGUUAAUCCACCAAAAUCACGGCCCGGGAUAUGAGAUCGAGAAAACCUUAUAUAAUAUAAAUAAAGAAAACAAUAAAGCCCAUUUUUCUUUAAAAAUAAAACAUUGUCAAAAGAUGAAGGCUAGAAAGAAAACACAUAAAAAAACAUAACAUCAACUCGCGUUAACUUUUCAAACUCAUGAUCUUGGUUAUUAGACCGAAAGCAUCCUAUCUGAACAAAUAACAAACCUCUAUUCUCAACCAAUCAAAUGUUGAAGGGUGAAAUUAAAAAAAAAUCAAUUAUACAAAAGGAUAAAGAAAGUAAUUAAAAGAAUGAUGAUCAAAAUUGAAAUAAAAAAUAAAUUUUAUUUUUUGAUUAAAGACUUAAAUUGAAAAGAAAAAUCAAUUUAACAAAAAAACCAAAAAAAUCAAAUGAAUGGGGAUCAAAACUGGAAAAAAAAAGAUUUUGAUUGAAGGGUGAAAUUAAAAAGAAAAAUCAAUUUAACAAAAAGACUAAAACAAAAAUAACACAAUAAAAAAAUAAAGACCAAAUUAGAAAAAAUAUUAUAUCACAAAUUAGGAUUGAAGGGUGAAAUAAAAAAAAAUCAAAAUUUUAUAUAAAAAAAACCAAGAAUAAGAAUUACAAAUCAAAAGAAUAAGGACCGAAUUUGACAUCUUAAUAAAUAAAAAGACAACUAUAAAAUUUUAAAUUAUAAGCAUGAUUUUCAAGAAGAUGAGAGAGAAAAGUGAGAGUAAAAGGAAAAAAAAGACUAUCAUUGUCGCAUUACCACCUCAUGUCAUUCCAAAAAGAAAAGGAUGUCUCGACGCUUCCAAUAACAUGACGAAAGGUGGUGUUUAACUGCUAGGAGGCACAACAUGAAAAGUGUGGGCUCCAACAAUUUUUUAAUUAUAUUUUAUAUUUAUUAAAAUACCAAAUUUUCUUUUAGCCAAUCUAAUAAUAACAGAAAAAUUAGUGUGAAAACACAAAAAACACCCUUAGAUGCCAAUUUAUAAAAUUUUAUUUUUAAGGGUAUUUUGGUUUUUUCAUUGUACUUUUAAAAUGCAAAAAAAUUAUUUGUUUCCAAUCAAUUUAAUAAUAAUUAAUAAACUUUAUUAAAGUAUUUUUGUACCCUUAAUAGUCAGUUCAAUAUUUUUUUAUGGGAAUAACAGAACUAUCAUUAUAAAACACAAAAAACACCCUUAAAUGUUAAUUUAUAAAAUUUUAUUUUUAAAAAUAUUUUGAUUUUCAUUAUACUUUUAAAAUAUAUAAAAAAAAUAUUUGAUUCUGAUUAAUUUAAUAAUGAUUAAGGUGUAUUUUGUUGAUUUUUUCACAAUUUUAUUUUGAUAUUUUUAUAAUUUAUUUAUUUAGUCAGGUUAUUUUACUCAAUCUAAAACCGGGGCCUUGUGUCAUGUCAAUCCCGGAUGGUUUCAUACCUAUGUUAGGUCUAUGCAGGGGCGGAAGCUUCGAGGGGUGCCAGGUACCUAUGCAUAGUAAAAGUACCGGAGAUCACUAGGGCUGUAAUUUUUUAUUUUGAAACAUUAAUCCUCUUUCGUCUGUACGACGUUUUGUGUCGUAGUAGUUCAAGUGUUCGAGGAGACGAGUGGUAGUACUAGUUUAUAAAAAGAUAUGCCAGGGGCGCCCACCGGGCUCCCUAGGCGGUAGUUUAUCCAAAACCAGCGAAGCAGUUCCUAGUUUCAGAUUUACCACCUUAGCUUCCACUUGCUUCUUACAGCAUGCCAACUUUGUAUUUGCUUUCUCCUCAGCCGCGUUUAAUUUAACCUCUCAAUUUUCAACCUCUCCCUCCGCUCGACACUUUUGACCCCAGUUUUUUAAUGCCUUCUUAUCAACCAGUUCAUUCAUCACUGCCACUUUCUUGGGUCUCAAUUAGAACAUCUUGAUUUGCUAUUUGCGCGGAAAAUCCAAAAUGGAAUUUACAUGAAUCACUCAUCCUACACAGUUUUGCUUACGUCAAGGGAAUGUAUGUAUAAAUAGGUAUAGUAAUUAAUCGGAAUUCACAAAUUAAAGUUUUAUUUAUUACCAAUCGAGGCUUCGCGCGUGUGUUUGUGUUGAAUUUAGAGAUUUAAGAAUAUUCGUUCCUUAUUUAUCAUCCGAAAAUAUGAUAACUACAUAAAAAAAACACGAAAAAAAAACACGAAAAUAUGAUAACUACAGGAGGAAGAAGUAAGAACCCUGGCCGUGGUUAGAGCUCGCAGCAUUUUCAAAAUCUCAUCUUGGAAAUCGGGAAACAAAAACACGAAAAUGAAGGGAAGGAUAAUAAUUUUAUUGAUCGACAAUCAACUCAUAAAAUUUACAUUUCGACAGCAAAUUCAAGAAGUUAAAUCCCUGUUCAUUGAAACAAGACAUAUUUCACACAACAAAAAAGAAAAUAACAUAAUUAAUCAUCAAUUGCCAGUUUACAAAAAACAUCUGAAAUAACAAAAAAAUGAAAAGACAAGACACUGCCGUCGCCGUUACAGAGGUGCCGAGGUGACAGGAGGAGCUACACAAACAUCAUCAAAGUUCCAAAGAUUAGCCACAAGGUUUUCCUGUGUGGAACCAUUUGGUGCCAUGGAUUGCCCGUCCAGAUAGGGAAUCUGAUAAAACUUCAUGUAAUUCUCAUACGCAAUUAACUCCUCGGUCAGUUUCUGUACCUCGUUUUCUUCCUCUCCAGUUCCCAAAUCCACCACCACCACCUCCUUAUUCUUCACCUUCUCUAGCUUCUCCUCCACUUCCAGCUUCACUUGACCCAUAUAAAUAUUACUCUUCACGUUCUGAUUACAGCCCACCAGUCUUGUUCCCUCCUCUGAAGCGGACCCAGAAUCAUCCUCCCCGGAAGCGACAAUUGGCUGGCCAUUAAAACCAUUUGAAGAGUAGGCUUCAACCUGAUUCAUACCAGAACCGUACCCAAAAUCAUAACCUUUUGAGAAAUGACAAGUGGGGGUUUGGUACAUAGGAGGCUUGGUAUUUGAAUUUUGAGAGGAGGAGUAAUGUUCAUCUUCGUUAGGAAAAUUGACUUUGGCUUUCUUGCCGCGGAUUAUGCGAGCCUCUCUGUCGUAGGCUCGAGCUGCUUCCUCAGCAGUAUUGAAGGUACCGAGCCAAACACGGACUCCUUUUCUUGGGUCACGAAUCUCAGCUGCCCAUUUACCCCAAGGUCGUUGCCUUAUACCUCUGUAUAGAUUCUUCCUCUGCCUCUUGGCAUUGGGCUUCUCCAUUUGCUCAUGAUCCCCUGUUUCAGCAUAAAUUCCACAUUCAAAAUCAAUUUCUCUGAAACAUGAACAUGGAGAAAAAAACUAUAACAAGAAAUGAAAUGAGAGAAUCUGAUACCUGAAGCGGGUUGGGGUUGGGGUUGGGGUCGUUUGAGAGUAAAUGACUCCUGAUUGCUAGGUUGGCUCAGACAGGACUCAAAGGGACCGAGUUUAUCGAAGCAUGAGUUUGGCCAGAACUGUGAAGCUGCUUCGCGGCGGCCGCGGUUACGAGGGAUGAUAUCAGCUAAAAUAGCACCGCCACACAUAUUUCUUUAAUUAGCUAAACAAUAAAACUAUGAGAGAUCUGUUGAUAGGGAAGUAAAGUAGACGAGGGUUUAUGAUGAAGAAGAGUUGAAAAGAAUUUACGAAGGAUUUUUGAGUUGAAGGAUGAGUGAGUAAUAAAGAGGAGGGGGUUUAUGUAGUGCGAGGAAACGAGGUGGGUGGGUGACAGCGGUAGGGACAAGCGGUCCGGUUUAGGAACUUUCUUUAGAUAUGCAUCAACUGUUUUUUUAAGAUAUGUAUAACCUUUGUUGACUUCUUGCUGUAAAAACACUUCAUUUGCUUGGGUUAUCGCGGAUGUCAAAGCUGCUUAAAUCCAAGGUUAUCCCUCAACGAAUCUUGCUACGAAGGCCAAAAAAAAAAAUAAAAAAAAUCAUUAUAUUAUAAUUAAAAAAAAAACUAAAAAAGAUAGAAAAAUAUUGUGACACAAGAUACAAACCAUUGUUCAUUGGAUUACCCUUGUACAGAAAAACUAUUUAAGAUGCAAUUAAGGAUGAAAUCGUUUUUUCACAUUUUUUUUAUAGUGAAAUGGCUCUGUUGGCAUUAAAAAAAAAAAUAUAGCUUUAAUCUAGAGGGUUUUUAAAUCUUUUCGAUAUUAUUUUCUUAAUAAAAUUAUAUCCAUACCUUUAAAAACAACAACAACAAAAAAAACUUACAUAAAAAAGUUUUUUUAUCUUUUUAUUUUUUAAAAACAAUGAAAUAACAAUAAUUGUUGUAACAACCUCCACUCUUUAUACUUGAACUUACAAAUAAAAAUAUCAUAAUUUAUUUUAAAAUUAGGGUGAAUCUUUUUUUCUAUUAAAAUUUUGAUAGAAUUUCUUUUUAUAUUUCAGUAUCAAGUUAUCGACGUCAAAUACAAAAUCAUUGUUCAAUCAUUAUAGACAGAAUCAUUUCAAACUCUUACUGUAUUCAACAAUUUAAGAUUUUAAAUUUAUUUUUAUAUUUUAAAGAUCUUAUCAAUAUACUCUGUGUGUGUGUGUGUGUGUGUAUAGAGAGAGAGAGAUGUUAAACCAUACAAUACAGUAUCAAAGUUUUUCUAAGUUAAAUUACAAUACUUUAAUUUCUAAAUUUUUAAUUACAAUAAAAAAAUAAUUUCUCAAAAGUCUACACAUACAAACCAAACUAUGUUAUAAAAAAAAAUGUUCUAAAGUUAACUAACCUCUUCUCUCUUGCUGAGAUGAACCUGAAAAUUUGUUCAAUACAAAGCAUAAUUAAAUCACAUAUUCCCCCCUAUAACAAAACACAACUUCAUUGAAUUCAAGGUUACACCUUACACAAAAAAUUUCAAUUAUAAUUCCCACAUUUACUCUACCACCUAGAACCAGACAUUCAUCCUAAAACUGGGACCAAACCCUCAACUAGGGUAAUAAAUUAAAUAACUCAAAACAAGCAUUAAUCCUUAACUAGGACUAUCAAUUCACACUAUCCAAAAACAGGGUGCUAGUACCUACACCAAAACAACUAGUUUACACUGUCCAAAAUCGGGUGCUAGUCUCUACACCAGAACAACUAGCUCACAUUGACCAAAAUCGGGUGCUAGUUCCUAAAUCAAAACAACUAGCUCAUACUUGAUUUCAAAUUGCAAAAUUCACAAUUCAAAAGAAUUAAUAAUAAAUGAUUUUGAAUUCUAAUAAUAAAACAAUUCAACUAAUGUAAGGUGCCUACCACCUAUCUGGACUUUACUUGACUAGCGAUCCCCUACUGUUAAAGAGUGUUUGCGACCUCAUCUGUGUUAAUGAAUACAUAUUGUUACUACUACUACUACUACUAUUACUAAAUCACACACUUACGAUUUAUUACUCUAAUGUUACUUAUCAAGAUAAUAAAUCAAUAUAUCAAUUAAUUCAAUUCAAUAAUUUAUUUUGAUAAUUCUUAUCGACAAAAUAAAUCAACAUAUCAAUUAAUUCAAUCCAAUAAUUCAUCCUGAUAAUUCUUGUUGACAUAAUAAAUCAACAUAUCAAUUAAUUUAAUCUGAUAAUUCAUCCUGAUAAUUCUUAUCAACAUAAUAAAUCAAUAUAUCAAUUAAUUUAAUUCAAUAACUCAUUUUGAUAAUCUUUAUUGAUAAAAUAAGUCAACAUAUCAAUUAAUUUAGCCUGAUAAUUCUUAUUGAUAUAAUAAAUCAACAUAUCAAUUAAUUUAAUUCAAUAAUUCAUUUCGAUAACCCUUAUCGAUAAAAUAAAUCAACAUAUUAAUUAAUUAAACCCGGUAAUUCAUCCUGAUAAUUCUUAUUAACAUCACCGUAUCAAUUAUUCAGGUGAUAAUUCAUCCCGAUAAUUUUUAUUGACAUAAUAAGUCAACAUAUUAAUUAAUUUGAUUUAAUAAUUCAUUUUGAUAAUCCUUAUCAAUUAAUUUAAUUUAAUAAUUCAUUUCGAUAAUCUUUAUUGAUAAAAUAAAUCAACAUAUCAAUUAAUUCAUAUCAAACACACUCAUAACACCUCUCAAGUAUUAAAGCAAUUACCUCAAAAUCUCCAUUUUGUUUAUGGGCGGCACUAAUUCCCUCUAAUACCCAUGAUAUUUUAUUCAAUUAUCUACCAUAAGAUAUUAUUUGUAACACAAUUUACCCCAAUUAUAAUAAUUUAUAACAAUAUAACAUUUUCCCCAAAUUACUCUUCAAGAAUCCUAAUUAGAAAAACUCAAUUUCAUGCAUAAAACUAGAGUUUAUUCCAUAAAACUCAUAUCAUUGGGUUUAAAAUUUCUUACCAAGUGUGAAAGUGAACUUCAAAUGCUAACCAGUCAAUUAUCUCCCUAGAACCUCAAUUUUCUCCUCCUAAUUCUUGUCUUAGUGAUGUUAACAACUUGAGUCUUAAAUUUGCCAAGAUUUCCCAUGUGAUUUAUGAAGAAACCCAAUCAAUUUCAAGAUACAAAAAUGAUGAAAUUUUUGAAAUCCUCUCUCUCUCUCUCUAGCAGCAUCCACCUACCAUUGGACAGGAAGAAUGAAAUUUUCUUUUCUUUUUAUAUUCCUAGUUUACCCCUCUUAUAAAUUCUUAAAAUCCUUUUAUUAUUUUCUUUUCAUAUUUGUUAAUUCUUUUAAUCCAUUAAAAUUUCUAUAUAAAUUCCUCUUUUUUUUACCAGAUCAUGUAAAAAUUUUAAUCAGGAAAAUGUGUUCUUUUAAAAAUUACAUGGUAUUACCUUAAGAUAAAGCAUAAUUAGUAGAAUUGAACAAGAACUUUAAAGAAAACUUUUAGGUAGGAACCUUAGAAAGGUUCGACCAUGAAGAAAAACAUAGGGGAAAAGUGUUUUGUUGGAAAUCUUGAUGAAUUAAUGAUGUUGAUACAACCUUCAAAAGAUAGGGAAUCAAAGGAUUUCCAUUACCUGAAAACAUAUUGGAAAAAUCAUAAUUUUUUCAUUUUAGGGUUCAUAUUGGGAAUUUAAGGAAACUAGAAGGUAAUGAGAAAAUUGUGUUAUUCUUAGAAAAAUUCAUCUUCUAUCAUGUUAUGCAUGUAACCUGUAUGAUAUAAGAAUUGAUCUUGAAAGUAAAACAUAAAUUUGUUACAAGGGUGAAGAUUUCAGCCAAAAAAAAGAAGGAAGUUUUUCAAUAGCAAAAACGGGCUAGCUGUUUUGAGAAACGGCUAAACCGAUUCAAGAAAUGGUUAGAUCAUUUUUUAAAAUAGUAAAAUCGUUUUAGCUACUAUUUUGUGGAAGUCUGAUUUUGUGUUUCGGUUUUUUCUUAGUUGUUAUUAAAAUCUUUUGGGUUGUUUGAAGAAUAUGGGUGAUUACUAUGUGGAAAAGAAAACAUAAUAAACGAUAUACAUGAAAUUAGUUUGUAUGAUAGCAUUCCAUAUAUUGAAACAUUAAGAGUCAGAAAAUUAUGUGUAAUGAUGUAAGGGUACAUGUAUUCAUGAGUAACAUGUACGUGAAUUGUUAAAAAAAUAUUGAGUAAUGCAUUCUUAAUAUUUUUAAGGAGAGAAUGUGAUGUUAGACAUGUUGUGAUGCUGGAGAGGCAUUGGCCGCGAGACCUUAGGUAAAUAGGACAAGACCAAUGAAAGAAACAUGUAAGUGUUUGUCACCUCAACUUUUUUAAUUUGAAAAAAAAAUAUAAGUUGUUAUUUUCAAUAUUUUGAUUAUUGAUUCAUAUAUACACAUUAUAGAAUGAUAAAAAUUCAUGAAAUCUUAAUGUGAAGAUUAUUUUAGAUAGGUGUUGUGUGCAUUAAACCAACAACAUAAGAGGGGUUUAGAUUGAUAAGUUGUCAUUCAUAAAAUGUUUGAGUUGUUAAAUGAAAAGCCAACCCCAUGAGUGGGGCUUAACUAAAUAAAUUUGAAUUGCGAAAUAUAAGUACAUAUAGGUUAUGUGUAUUAUAGUUACGCAUAUGUGUGGGGUUACGGUCAAAGUCCCUUGGAGGACAAGAUAGAUGCUUUUUUUAUGCAUGUGAGUCAGCCACAACAAUGGGGCUCUAAAGUUGUUAACAUCAAGUUGGCCACGAGAAAAUAGGGACUUGAUCACAAAAUUAAUGUACCGGCCAUAUGUGUAAAGGUAAUGAGAAAUUUAUAGUUAGUCAUAUGAGCGGAAAAUAAAAAGGUGUUCGACAUACACUUUAGGCACGAAAGCCAAUUAAAACAAAUGAUUGAUUGUUGUUUAUAUUAAUGAACCUAUAAAGGAGGUUUACAAAGGGUUGGGUAUGAUGAAUCUUAAUGUUAAGUUACCUUAAGGUAUUUUCUAUGUGAAAAACAACAUUUUAAAUUUGAUGCUACAUGAAGAAGUUAGCUUAGGAGUUUGGGCUUAUAGGCUAUUAUUGGAGUAAAAGGUUUGAUUAAUGAAUUAUCACUACUAAUGAAUGCUAUAAAAAAUAUUGAUGUUAAAGAAUUGUAAGUUUGAAAUCGGUGAAAAUUUGUGAAAGUAAAUGUUAAUAUAUGCUUGAUUUGUUAAUGUUGUGAUGUUAUAAUAUAAUUUUAUUCUAAAUUCUUAGUAUAUUAUUUUUUAUAGGUUCUUCAUGUGCUAUUUGAAACUAGACUGGCGUGAUAAAUUAUUUUAGCUGUAGGAUUAUAUCAAACAUCAUUUAGCUAUAGAACCUUUCUCAAUUUCUAAUUAGCUGUAGGAUUUUGGUAUUUUUUUUUGUUAUUCAUACUACUGUCUUGGAAGUUUGUAAUAAACAUAUUUGUUAAAUUAUAAGGAUUAUUAUGUUGUUAUGGUAAAAAUUUGUUAAUGAUAAUGAAUUUUAUCUUUUCAUUUUAAAUAUAAGAUCAACGUUUUAAUUUUUUAAGUGUUUUUACUAUAUUAUUAUAUUACAAAUCUAUAUGUAAUUGUUUGAUUGAAAAAUAUACGUGGAUGGUUAAUAAUAGUGCUAACGAGUGGAAAGAAGUACACUCGAAGUUGUGAUAUAAUUUUUUUUUCAUAAUUAAUAUGUGAUAUAUUAUUAAUUAUCUUGUACAUUCAUGUAGUGAGAAUGUGGGGGUGUAACAUUUGUGCUACAAGAAAACCAGCUUUCCAGCCAUACCCAUUUGAUUUCAACGGGUUUGUAGCAGAUAGGGUUUUUUUUUUUUUUUUCACCAUGCUUGCGAAUCUAGACUUAAUUCAUCAACCACCAUUUCGGCAUCAUCAAAGGAUUAGGGAGACCCACGGUAAAGCGCGUGCUGAUAGGUAGUGUACCUUACUAUUUGCAACUUGAAAUUUUAGAUUUGUGUAAAUCGACGUAGAAAAUAUCAGAUCUCGCUGGCAAUAACUUUGAAUUUUCCAAACACAUUAUUAUAACAUAUUAAUUUUUCAUGGAUCCUAUAAACUUAUAUAUAAAAUAUUGUGUAUUAAAUUGACGUAUGAUUAAUUUGAUAUUAUAUCCAUAUCCCAUAAAUUAGGAUUCAUUAAUUUGGUUCAUAAUUUAUAUUGAAUUAUUCAAAUCAUUGCAUGCAAAUAAAUCUUGAGGUUCCUUAACUAUCAUCUUUCUAAAAUUUUGAGUAUGAUAAUAAAUCCCAUUUAAAUUGUGUGAGAUACGAAAAUAUUGAAAGGUUAAAAUUAAUUGUUACAAGAGGGAUUAAUAAAUUGAAGGCUACAAAAUAUUUGUGGAAAAAAGAAAGAAAGAAAGAUGAAACUUUGGCAGUGAAGGAAGGAAGAGAGGAUACAGAAUAUCAUCUGACUGUGGUUUUUAAGUAAAAAAAAGGAGAGGGAAACGAUCGCUAAAACAAAUGUUAUUCAAUUAGUUGGAAGUUUUAUUAUUAAUGCGGGUUUGGUAAUAUGUUUUUUAAUUGAAAAUGUGUAAAAAAAUAUUUUUAUUUUUUAAUAUAAGCAUAUUAAAAUUAUAAAAAAUAUUAAUUUAAUAUAUUUUUUAAAUAAAAAAUAAUUUAAAAAGUUAAUUGAACAUUUUCCACGAGAAUAUGUUGAUAAUAAGCUAACAAUUAGUUGGAAGUUUUAUUAUUAAUGUAAUAUGUUUUUUAAUUGAAAAUAUAUAAAAACAAUAUUUUUUUAAUUUUUAAUAUUAGUAUAUCAAAGUUAUAAAAAAUAUUAAUUGGAGUUGAAUUUGAGCGGCUCCACGAAAAAUAAAACUCAAAAUCAAUCUACUUGGAAGAACUUUAAUUGGAGGAUAUGUAACCUAUUUUUAGAAGAUAUUAAUUUUUUAUUUUUCAUGGUAAGAAAAGAUGACCAAGUUAACAACCUUUGUGUGUUUUUUUUCUCUGUUUGGGAGAGAAAUAAUCUGGUUUCAAAUUCAGUAUGCGUCAUCCAUGGAAAAAGACGGGAGACAAGACUAUUCCACAAAGUCAAAUGUGUCGUUAUUCUUAAGCUAGAGAAGCUAUAUGGUUUCUGUAUCCAGUCUCCUACCGACCUAAAAUAAUUGUGUUGUUUGGAGUGAGGGUCGGUGAUUUAAGCAAAAUUACCUCUUGCAUGAGUCUUAACCAUGGAUCUUGGGCCCAUUUCCUCAAAGAUGCCUAUGUUUUUAUCUGUUUAGUAUGCUUGCUGGUAAAAGUUAUUACUUUUAGUUUGAUUUGGUUUUUAUAAAAAAAAAAAUAAUAAAUUAAUUUUAAAAAAAUCAAAAUCAAACUAGAAUCAGUUCAAACCGACUAGUUUCGGUUCAGUUCGGUUAUUUUAGAACAAAAACAAAUUCAAACCGGUUUGGCUUAGUUUUUUCGGUUUAGCUUGGUUUUUUCCUGGUUUUUUGGUUUGGGUUCGGUUCGGUUCGGUUAGGUUUUUCAGUUUCGGGCUUAUAAAACCAAAAUCAAACCGAACCGAUUGGUUUUUUCAAAAUUCUAAUCGGUUUUUUUUCACGGUUGAGUUUUUUCUGUUAUUUUUUUUCUAAAUUUUUUGGUUUAAUUAGUUUUUCAGAUUUUUUGCUCACCUUCUUUUGCCAGUUUUAGACUUGAAUAGUUAUUAAAUUAGAUCCAAGCCUAUAUGACAUACUACUAUUUGAAUCCAGUGAAGAAAACCCAUUAGCGGCCCAAUGCCUCCACUUUUGUUUACGAAGAUAUAAUGCAAAAAUUUGUAAAUAGGGAAAAAAAAGAAUUAAAAAAAAGCAUUAGAUGGAUGAGUUUGAAUAAAUUUCUCGAGGGGAAAGAACCUUCGAAGGAGCCCGUAAUUGCCUUUAACAACGCGAUGUGACUCGUUAAAAGCUUGCUUCAACGAGGCUCCUUUAAUGUAAUCUUAUCUCGUAGAAAAUUCAAUUGAAACUAGCUGUGGUCGUGGUCCAAUUUGUUUUCUCUGCGACUUCUGUUAUAUAAAUUAUUUUUAUUUUAAUUACACGAGACAUUUCAAAUGAAUCAAAUUAAAAAAAAUGGUAAUGAUGACUGAGGAAAAUAUUUUUUUUUCCGAAGAGGGGACAAAUAAAAUAGAUUAAUUCCUAAACCAUUAAAUACAAAAAGACAAAGUUGAUUAAAAAAAAUCUAAAAAAUUCAAAUGAAGUCAACACAAGUUAGCAUGAUAAAUAUAUAACCCUAGUCAUCAAAGUUGACUCAGCUCGGAUCAUUCCGCCAAACCUAAGAUUGAAGUCAUGAGAUUAGGAUAACCCAAUAGAAAAGAAAACAAAAAAAAUCACAAAGUCCAUUUAAAAAAAAAUCAAUGCCAAAUCAUGGUAACUUUUCAAACUCGUGACUCAUUUUAUGAUACUAGAAGCAUCAUAUCUAAAAAAAUCAUGAAAUUUCAUUCUCAAUCAAUCAAAUAUCGAAUAAUAAAAUUAAAAAAAAAACUUCAAUUAUACAAAAGGACUAAAAACAAAAAAUAAUAAUUAAAAGAAUAAGAUUUAAAAUUGAAAUACAAAAUAAAUUUUAUCUUUGAUUGGAAAUGUGAAAUUGAAAAGAAAAAACAAUUUAACAAAAUGAUCCAAAAAAACAAUCAAAAGAAUAAGGAUCAAAAUUAAAAUAAGAAAUACAAAUAAUUUCUUAAUUGAAGGGUAAAAUUGAAAAGCAAAAUCAAUUUAACAUAAAGCUCAAAAACAAAAACAUAUCACAAGUUCGGAUUAAAGGAUGAAAUUAAAAAAAAAUUACUAAAGGGUUAAGAAUAAAAACUAGAAAUUAAAAGAAUAAGAACCAAAAUAAAAAUCCCUAUGGAAAUCUUGCAUGGCCAGCACGAAUUUCAAGGGAAGGAAAGAAAAAAUAAAAAAGGGUAUUAGACAAACCAUGCUACCACCGACCACAUGCUCUCCUCUAAAAUGAAGAGGACACUAAGAUGCUUCCAAUUAUAAAAAAAAUCAUUGAGGGAAAUUUUUGGUUGUUUUAAUAUGAUUUUAAAAUAUGAAAAGAUUUAUUUUUCUUCUAUCAAUAUAAUAAUAACUAAUGUGAUUUAUAAAAAAAAACGUAAACAUCUUCAAUAGCUAGUUCAUUUUUUUUCAAGCCUUCACACUGUUCUAGUAAACGGUACAAAUGGAUCUAUGUUUACAAUGUUUUUACUAAGAUAAUUAGAUUUUUUUAAUUUUAAAUUUUUUUGACUUCAUGGUGAAGGAGACGUACUAUCUCUAAUUUUUUAAAUUAAAACUUCAUAACCAACAUCCCAAAAACAUGACAGCACAACAUAUCUUUCAUUGUUUCAGAGAAUUGAUGCCUAUGGGUGUGGUAAAUUACUACUUAAUUUACUUUAUUCUUCUUAUUAACAAUACUCUAAAUGGUGUGGAAUAAUUACUGUUACUCACAUCAAAAUCAUUAUAAAUUAGUACUUUUUUUUUAUUUUUUUUCAACUUACCCUUUUUUUUGUUUUUUUUUUCAACUUUUCUCUGUUUUUUUUGCAUUUAUUUUUUUUUAAAAUUAUUUUUGUUGAGUUUACUUUUUAAAUAUUGAGUUGGUUAAAAAUUUUGCUUUGUAAUUUUUUUCCUUUAAAAUAUUGUGGAUUGCUGCGGUGUUUUUCCACAUAGUUUUUCUAUUUUAUUUUUUUAUUUUUCAAAAUUAUAUUUGUCGAUUUUUUUAAUAUUGAGCUGGUUAAAAAUUUUGCUUUGUAAUUUUUUUUCUUUAAAAUACUGUGGAUUGUUGCGGUGUUUUCCCACAUAGUUUUUCUAUUUUAUUUUUUUAUUUUUCAAAAUUAUAUUUGUCAAUUUUUUUAAAAUAUUGAGUUGAUUAAGAAUUUAGAUUUGUAAUUUUUUUCUUUAAAACAGUGUUGAUUGCUACAAUGUUUCUCCUCAUGAGUUUUUUAUUAUUAUUUUCUUCGUAAUUAUCUUUUUUCUAUUUUAUUUUUUAAUAUUGAGCUGGUUAAAAAUUACAGUUACAAUAUGUGAUGUUUCUCCUCAUGAGUUUUUUUUUAUUAUUUUCUUCGUAAUUAUCUUUUUUCUAUUUUAUUUUUUAAUAUUGAGCUGGUUAAAAAUUACAGUUACAAUAUGUGAGGAAAACACUGUAACUUUCUUCGCAAAUUACUGUGGAUUGCUACAAUGUUUUUUCCCACAAAGUUUUUUUAUGUUUUGUUAUGUUUUUUCCUAAAAUUGUCUUUGUCAAUUUUAUUUUUUAAAUAUUAAGCUGGUUAAGAAUUGCAAUUAAAUCACUGUUUCUCCACACCCAAAAUCACUGUGGAUUGCAACAGGAAUCCACAUUGCAUUCCUUUUUUGUUUUUUGUUUUUUGCAUUUUUUCAUUUUUUUUCCAACUUUCCUCUGUUUUCUUUUUUUUUUGCAUUUAUUUUUUCUUUUUUUUCAAAAUUAUUUUUUUUUUAUUUUUUAAAUAUUGAGUUGGUUAAAAAUUGCGUUUUGUAAUUUUUUCCUUUAAAAUACUGUGGAUUGCUGCGGUGUUUUCCCACAUAGUUUUUCUAUUUUAUUUUUUUUAUUUUCAAAAUUAUAUUUGUCGAUUUUUUUAAUAUUGAGCUGGUUAAAAAUUUUGCUUUGUAAUUUUUUUCCUUUAAAAUACUGUAGAUUGCUGCGGUGUUUUCCCACAUACUUUUUUUUUUUUUAUUUUUUAAAAUUAUAUUUGUCAAUUUUUUUUAAUAUUGAGCUGAUUAAGAAUUUAGUUUUUUUAAUUUUUUUCUUUAAAACAUUGUUGAUUGCUACAUGUUUCUCUUCAUGAUUUUUUUUUAUGAUUUUCUUCGAAAUUAUCUUUUUUUUUAAUUUUAUUUUUUAAUAUUGAGCUGGUUAAAAAUUAUAGCUACAAUAUGUAAGGAAAGCACUAUAACUUUUUCGCAAAUUACUGUGGAUUCUUACGAUGUUUUUUUCCACUUGGUUUUUUUUGUUUUGUUAUGUUUUUCCCUAAAAUUGUUUUUGUCAAUUUUAUUUUUUAAAUAUUAAGCUGGUUAAGUAUUGCAAUUACAAGUAAAUAAAAGUUUUUCUUCACAAAACACUAUGGAUUGAUACAGUUUUUCCUCACAUGAUUUUUUUCCAAUUUCUUUUGUGUUUUCUUUUUUUGUAAUAUUUUUUUCCAAAAUUAUCUUCGUCGAUUUUGUUUUUUUUUUUUUUUUUUCAUAUUGAGUUGGUUAUAAUUUAACUUUGUAAUAAAGCUUAAUCAUGUGGGGAAAGCACUUUAGCUUUCCUCACAAAACAUUGUGGAUUGAUACAGUGUCUCUUCAUAUGGUUUUUUUUUCUUAAAAUUUUUCUCAAAUUAUCUUUGUCAAUUUUAUUUUUUUAAUAUUGAGUUGUUUGAGAAUUACAAUUACAAGUCAUUACAAAUAAGGUUAAAUCAUGUGGGGAAGCACUGUAGCUUUCAUCAUAAGACACUGUGAAUUGCUACAGUGUUUCCAACAUGAUUUUUUCUCUUUUUUUGGUGUUUUUUUGUUAUUUUUUUUCUAAAAUUAUCUAUGUCGAUUUGUUUUUAAUAUUGAGCUAAUUAAGAAUUUAACUUUGUAAUUUGUUUUUCUUUAAAACACCAUGAAUUGUUGCAGUGUUUUCCCAUAUGAUUUUUUUAUGAUUUUUUUCUAAAAUUAUCUUUGUUGAUUUUUUUUUAAUAUUGAGUUGGUUAAAAAUUAUAAUUACAAUAAAGCUAAAUCAUAUGAAGAAAGAGUUGUAGUUUUUCUCACAAAACACUGUGGAUUGCUACAAUAUUUCUCUAAAUGGUUUUUUAUUUUAUUUUAUUGGGGAAAACACUGUAGUUUUCCUUACAAAACACUGUCAAUUGCUGCAACGUUUUUUCUCAUGGGUUUUUUUCCUUCCAAAAUUAUCUUUGUUUGUUUUUUUUAAUAUUAAGUUGGUAGAGAGUUUAGUUUUGUAAUUGUUUUUUGCUUUUUAUUAAUAGAAAAGCUAAAUCAUGUGAUGAAAGUACUGUAUCUUUCCUCACAAAACAUUGUAGAUUGCUAUAAAUCAUUUUGUUCAGUCUCUAAGUUUUUGAUCACCAAAACAACUUUUUUUCCCGUCAUGAAAUAUUUGCUCCAUCAUACCUUUAGUUUCUAUUACUUAUCUAACGCUGGUUUAUAAUUAUAACACUAUCAAGUAUAUUUAUUUUAUAAACCCGUGACAGCAUGCGGGCACAUCAUCACGUUCCUUCUAAAACAUAACUAUACAAUAUGUUGAAUAUUCAAGAAAACUCCUCAUAUAAACGAAGCAUUGUUGGACCAAAGAAAGUAAAUGUAGGCACACUGUCUAUGUGAAAUGUGAACAAGGAUCAUGACGAUGUAUGAUUAAAUUAAUCUAUAUUCAUAAGAGAUUAAAUGUUUUAGAAUUAUCUUAAGCAAAAGUAAAAAUCUAAUUACCGAACAGUAGUUUUUGUAUAUAAGCAUUUAGGACUACUUUUCGAUAUAUAAUUGUCCCAUGCAAUAUCAUGAGUAGCAUAAGAAAAAUUAAAGUAAAAAAAUAAAUACCUAGACAUUAUUAACGUUUUUUCUAUUAUAGUUUUUUUAAUGCUGUGAAAAUUAACUAGAUGUGACUUGGUGGAUAUGACAUGUUCAAAAAUAACAUAUAUAAAACUUAAAAACAAAGUUUAACUCAAAAUAAAUAUUCAUGAUAUGAAUUGUUUUUAUAAAUAUUGGGAUGAUAACAUAUUGAAUUGAUUUUAAUCAACUUGUCAAUUUGCAUGUCUGGUCAUGAGACUAUGAUAACUCCAUAAAAAGUAAAUCAAAACAAAUUAUGAAGGUCAAUUUUCAAUAAACCUAAUUUUAAAAAAUAAAAUUGGAAAAAAAAAUUCAAUUAAAAAGGGAUAAAAAAUGACAUGAGUUAACUCGGAUUAACCUACCAAACUCGUAACUCAGGUCAUGAGACUGAGAUAACAUAAUAGAAAUCAAAUUAAAACAAAUUAUAAAACUCAAUUCUCAAUCAACCCAAUAUUAAAAAAUAAAAUUGAAAAAAUAUUCGAUUAAUAGCAAACUCGAGUUAACACUUCAAACUCAUGACCCGAAUUAUAAGAUAGUGAUAACCUCAUAAAACACAAACCAAAUAUAAUUCAUAAUCAAUCAAAUAUUAAAGGAUAAAAAAAACCAAUUAGAAAAAAAAACUUAAAUCAAUCGAUUUAUCUCGUUAAACCUACGAUCUAGGUCAUAAAAAUAAGAUAACCUUAUAAAAAAUAAAUGAAAAAAAUUAUAAAGUUUAAUUUUCAAUAAAACUAAUAUUAAAUGGUGAAACUAUAACUAAAAAAAACAUAAAUUGAAAUAGAUAAAAAAGGAAGGAAACAAAACACAAUUUAAGUGAAUAGUAUUUUGUGAGGAUAUGUAUAGUAAAACCCCCUUUUUCUUUUUGUUAACAAGCUUGUUUGUUUGCACUAUGGGAUAAAAUUACUUUUAAACACAAAAAAAUAUUAAAGACUCAAGAAAUCCUUGGGCAUUGUUAUUAAAUUUGAAAAUAUAGUUGUUUUAAUUUUUUUUUUCAAUCAAGAUAAUUUUUUUAUUUAUUAAUGCACCUCUUUUUUAUCUUAACAAAACAAAAUUUUUAACUAGAAUAAUUGUUUAUGUUAAAAAAUAAAUAUUUUAUGAUUGUCAAAUCAAUUCUAAUAAAAAUAUCAAUUCUAAUAAAAAUAUCAAAAUAGUAUAUUCAUAUUUUAUGUGUAAUUGAAAAUGAAAAACAUCAUGAAUAUGAUAAAAUUGAGUUAAGAUUUUUAUUUAAUCAAAAGUUAAAUUUUUUAACUCUUGACUUGUGAAGAUACUACAUCUAUUUUUUAUUUUAAGAAAACUAUUUAAAGUAUUUUUUAUAAAACAUAAUUCUUAAUUUAAAAUCAUCUAAACUUAUUUUUGUCAUAAAUGGUUUAUGAAAAACAAAGUUUGAAUUAUUGCUCAAAAUCAGAAAUUAUUUUUCACAAGUUUUUGUAAAACACACUCUCAAUCGUUUAUAGUAUUAGCCUUUCGAAAGCAUGAUCUUGUCCGCAAUCUUCCCAUCCAAAGCAAUGAGCAUAUCCUAUGCUGUCAUGUUUAUUCUAAAAUCGAAAAACAUAAUCUAUCCAGACAGUGUUAGUUAUUAUGUAAUGUCCAAGCCGUCAUGCUGGAUUCAAAGGUGUCCUUGUCUAGUAUUGCCCAUCACGUUGCUUUCCUACAGUGCAGCAAAGUCUCUCUUUCCUUUCUAUAUUAUAUUUUCUCAAAUUAGUCCUAUAAAACGCCUUGAAGAUGGUAGCGUGUAGCAAUUACAGCUACGAGGCUACGACCCAAAGCCAGAUACUGUCAAGCGAGACACUUUCAAGCCAGAUUAUAGCCACAGCCCCAGAUUAAAGCCAGACACUUUCAAGCCAGAUUAUAGUUAUGACCCAAAACCACAACCAAACGUUGUGAAAUCCCACUACGGGUUUGACUCGAAACCAAAUCUUGACAAGAUUAAGCUUAACAUUCCCAAGCCAGAUGUCACCAAACCAAAUUAUGAUUCUAGCCCAAAGCCAGAACCAGGCAAUGGGUAUGAUUCAAAACCACACCUUGACAAACCCAUCGUUCCCAAACCAGACACUGUCAAGCCAAAUUAUGGUUAUGAUCCAAAAGCAGAUGUUCCCACACCAAAACCCAGCUACGGUUAUGAGUCUUAUGACUCAAAACCAAAAUUGAUCGUGCCCAAACAAAAUAUUGCCAAGCCAAAUGACAAAUAUGAUUCAAAACCAAACCUUCCCGAACCAAAGGUGACUGUGCCAAAACCCGGACAUGGUUAUGACCCAGAAGAAAAGGUUUAUGAUCAACCAAAGGUGACCGCAUCAAAGCCAGAGAUUGUCGAGCCAAAUAAUAAUUAUGUCCCAAAAUCAAACAUCCCGGAACCAAAGUUGUAUAUACCAAAACCAAGCAAUGACAAACUAGACUACGAGUAUAGCCUGAUAGGCAUUGAAGGUCUUGUCCUAUGCAAACAGGGUUCUAAUUAUACCCCUUUGUUCUUCUCUGAGAGCUAAAGAAUUCGAAGCCAUGAUUUGUUUGCUUGUGUUAUUAAUGUUAUGGAUGCUGCUACAGCUUGAAUCAAAGUGUUUUUGUUAUAAUUUCCUUACAAAAGUUAUUUUUAUACGUGUGUAGGAGCUGUGAUAAGUAUGGGCACAGGAAAACCCCUUUCUCCUGUUUAACUGAAGCAACCAACGCAAAGGGUUCCUACUUCAAAACAUUGCCUGCUUUCGGGCUUCAUGAUCAUUUAAAUUUAAAGGUCACAGAAUGCCAGGCUUACCUUGAUUUUGGGAGCUUUAAUCCUUAUAUAUUUUCAAGGAACACGCACCAAAAAGAAAGAUUGCAGAGGGUCAAAUGUUGGGUCUUUUAUCAGGUCCCUGUUCACUCUGGUUUUCUUAAUUUUUAUGCUUACAAAUGAGUGAACUCUUAUAAUUUAAGCACGUAAUACUUUUCCCAUGUCUAUUUUAUCAACAAGAAAAAUAAUUUGAUUAAUUCUACCAAAAAAAUAUAAUUGCACACACUAAAAAAAAGAAAAAGAAAAGAAGAUAGAGUUGCUAAGAUACAAAUUAUUCUCUCUUUGCUCUAGAAAUGUUAAGCAUUUAUUUCGGGAAAGAAAGGCUACAAUAACUUAAGAGAGGCGCCAAUCGCCCAGCAAUUCAAAGCAUUUAUUUGUUUUAAUCAUGCACUCAUUCUAAAGAAAGCUGAUAUUGUCUCAAAGACAUUAAAUCUUUGAGAUAUAUGAUGUAUAUAUUAUUUGAGAUUUGGAGAUAUUCCACGCUAUUGCCUGUAACUGAAUGAAUAUAUAUAUAUAUAUCCUGUCUUCGGACAAUAGUUUUGUUUUUGUUUUUGUUUGUAUCUUUUUUUUUUUAUGCCGAGAAAGACAGAACAAAGAAGCUAAUUGUAUAUUUAGAAUUGUGAUAGCGGUGAUGAUUUACAAUAUUUUUCGCUUAGAAAUACAUCAAAAUAAAAUUUUUUAUUUUUAAAAAAUAUUUUUUAACAUUAGCAAACCAUUGAAAACAUAUAUAUAUAUAUUUUCAAAUGGUAAGGAAACAUGAUGCAAAACACUCCCUAAAUCGCAAGGUCACACUAGUGCAGUUCCUUGUAGCAGAUCAAGCAAACCUGUUGACAUGGCAAAACAAAGUAGGCCAAUCUAGCCCAAAAUAAAGCAUAAUAAAAAAGAAGAAAAUGCAAACUGAAAAUCAUAGCCCAACAUGAUCCAAAUCAAGCAAAGCUAAACAACACCAAGAAGCCCAACCGAGCCUAGGAGAGAGGGGAGGAUUGGAGAGAAGAAGAAGAAGAAAAAAAAGGAAUAGCCCAAUCAAGCAAUAGUUAGGCCUAAUAGCACAACCAAAAAAAAGAAAAAGAAAAGAAAAUAAAAAGAGUAGAAAGAAAAGAGAAUGAGAGAGAGGAUAAAAAAGAGAGCUCAAAUAAGCUUUAGUUAAUCCCAAUAGCCUCACUAGAGAGGAAUGAAAGAAAAGAGAGAGGAAGAGUUCAACUAUUGUUAGGGACAUCUCAAUGAGUUGAUUAGGAUAGAUACAGUUAGAAAAAGAUUCACACAUUUAGUUUGAUAUUAACUAGGAAUCGUAACUAAUCUUUCAUAAAUUCUUAGGUAAAAGGUUAGUUAUACUAAAGAAAAGAUGAAAAUAACCCUAAAACAUCCAAUCUAAGGUAAGUUGUUUCAUAUUUGUUUUUAAUGAUAAAAUAUACCUCUUAUGCUUAUACAUUUGAGUACUAAAAUGUAAGGUAGUGAUUUGAAACCUAGGCUUGACAAAAAAGUUCAAUCCUCACUUUUGGAUUACGAGCAUUGAAUUCAAGAAGAUGAUAAAUUAUAAAUUGAACUUCAAGCUUGUUUUCUUUGAUAACAUUCAAAAUCAGCCUAAAGGCCCUUACUUGCUUUGAUGGGCCUAUGUGGGUCACAUUAACCCAAUCUAGAAUCACUUACAACAAAAAGGGUAUAUGACCUAGUCUAGAAAAUAACUAAACAAACAUUACACGUAUUCAGAAUUAAAAUUUAAUAAACAAUAAAUAUGGACAUAUAAAUUAUAUUUACAGACCAAGAUCCAAAAGAAUAUGUACAAAAUGUCUAUUUUAUAUAUAUAUAUAUAUAUAUAUAUAUAUAUAUCAAAUGAUGUCACUUCAAAGGUGACUCCAAUAUUUGGAUAAUAUUUUACUGGAUAAGAAGAACUGUGGACUAUAAACCUAGGCUUGACAAAAAAGUUCAAUCCUCACUUUUGGAUUACGAGCAUUGAAUUCAAGAAGAUGAUAAAUUAUAAAUUGAACUUCAAGCUUGUUUUCUUUGAUAGCAUUCAAAAUCAGCCUAAAGGCCCUUACUUGCUUUGAUGGGCCUAUAUGGGUCACAUCAACCCAAUCUAGAAUCACUUACAACAAAAAGGGUAUAUGACCUAGUCUAGAAAAUAACUAAACAAACAUUACACUUAUUCAGAAUUAAAAUUUAAUAAACAAUAAAUGUGGACAUAUAAAUUAUAUUUACAGACCAAGAUCCAAAAGAAUAUGUACAAAAUGUCUAUUAUAUAUAUAUAUAUAUAUAUAUAUAUAUAUAACUUCAAUAUUUGGAUAAUAUUUUACUGGAUAAGAAGAACUGUGGACUAUAAACCUAGGCUUGACAAAAAAGUUCAAUCCUCACUUUUGGAUUACGAGCAUUGAAUUCAAGAAGAUGAUAAAUUAUAAAUUGAACUUCAAGCUUGUUUUCUUUGAUAACAUUCAAAAUCAGCCUAAAGACCCUUACUUGCUUUGAUGGGCAUAUGUGGGUCACAUCAACCCAAUCUAGAAUCACUUACAACAAAAAGGGUAUAUGACCUAGUCUAGAAAAUAACUAAACAAACAUUACACGUAUUCAGAAUUAAAAUUUAAUAAACAAUAAAUGUGGACAUAUAAAUCAAGAUCCAAAAGAAUAUGUACAAAAUGUCUAUUAUAUAUAUAUAUAUAUAUAUAUAUAUAUAUAUAUAUAUAUAUAUAUAUAUAUAUAUAUAUCAAAUGAUGUCACUUCAAAGGUGACUCCAAUAUUUGGAUAAUAUUUUACUGGAUAAGAAGAACUGUGGAUUAUAUUCAGUAUCUUUUAACUUUUAAGAGAUAAGACUUGCUUAAGGAUCACACUAUCCCAAAAUUAAUUCUUAGAUAAAGAAAAUAAUUAAUACAUCCAAAAAACCACAAAGAUAAAAAACAAAAAUGUUUUUUAUACAAAAACAAUAAAGCCUCAACUUUUAAUGGACAAAACUGAUUCAAGGAUCUUACCAUCCUGAGUUGAUUCUUUUAUGGAGAAGACAAUCAAUAUGCACCUAAUUAAUCACAUAAAAGAAAGCAAAUCAAUUUUUAUUUUAUUAAAAUACUCUUACCAUUUAUUUUAAACAAGUGUGGAAAACCUUUAUUUGAGCACAAAUUCCACUACAACCAAACAUACACAUCCUCAGAUAAUUUCGGGUAUGAAAAAAGGUCGGAGUUGUGGGGGAUGUUUGGUUAUUGAUGUGACUAGAUUCAAAGGUAUUUGGGUAGGUUGGCGAGAGAGAAUAGUGGCUACUGGAUCACGUGAUGGGGAAAUUUCAAGGUUGAUUGUUGGGUGAUUUAUGGUUGGCUGAUGAUUUAUUUGGAGAAAUGAUGGUGGUUGGUUCACGAUGGGUAAAGAGAUAAGGUUGUUUUGGUGAUUAUAUAAAUGAGAGAUUGCUACUCGGUUCUAGCAAGGAUGAAAAAGAAAGUCAAAAUUUGGUAAUGAGGGAGAAAGAAAGAGAGUUGUGACUUUUUUUUUUUAAUUUUUUUCCCCUUAGGGUUAGUCUCCUCUCUCUCGCAAUUUUAUUUUCUGUUGGUUUGCUUCCAUUUCUUUUAAUGAUUUUUUUUCCCUUCCUGCUUCCUUUUCUCUACUCUCGCUCUCUACUCUCUAAAUUGUUUUCCUUUGAAUAUAUGGUCUAUUAAUCUUUUUAUUUAUCUAUUUAUCUCUCUUUUUCUUGUUAUCUCCUUGUAUUCCUCUAUUUUGUUUUUCUUAUCUUACAACUACUUGGAGAGGGACCUAAACUUUCAUGUUUAUUUUGAUCUCUAUUUCCUUCUUUGCUUAUUGUUUCACUCAAUAAUCUUUUUUAUUCAUCUAAAUUUUUUGGUUUUUGAAAAUUCAUCAUUUAAAAAUAUGAAUAAGAUACGUGAAAAGGGUAAAAAAAUAAAAAAUAGGAAAUGGCUAUAAAUUGGUCAAAAUGCAUCAUAUAUAUUAGAAAAUUUUGUAUUUUUUUGAAAAUAUGUUGAGAAUUAGGGUAAAAAAUGGCCCAUGACAAUUGGGCAGCAUUUGGGCCUAACAGCCUAAUUAGAGAGAAAAGAAAAAAAAAAAAAAAGAGAGAUGGGUUGAAAAUCAAAGGAUAGGAUACAAGAAAAAAAAGAAAAAAAUAAGUUGCUACAUGACUUUGAUUACAACACGUGCUAGACAUUAAGAAUUUUCUAGAGAUGAAGCUAAAGAUAUCGAAAAAGACCUCGAUCGAACGCUGUAAUAAGUCUCAUGCAUCCUUAGAAGACAACUGGCAUCGUGUAUGACUAAAUAUAUAUUUUCCUAUUUUCUGAUUCAAACUGAUUAUACACCAAAUCUCUAAUCCAUUCCUUCAUGAAAGCCUAAUCGGGUCCAAUGAAGGCUCAACUAAGGAGAAAAGAAGAAAAGAAAAAUUAUAAAAAAGAGAAAAAAGAUGGUAGCCAUAUCAAUCCUAAUAACGCCGAAAACCCAUCAAUCCUUUUCAUUUUCCUUAAGAGAUGACAACUCUCCCUUUUUAAUAUUCAUGUCAUGCCAAAUGAUGUUUAAGCAUACUAAUGCCACCAUAACCAUCUAACUAAAUUCUCAUUAUACAAGUUAUACCCAUUUAGAUUCUUCAUUUUACAAGUUAUUAGUGUGAUGCCCACCUAAUUUCCAUAUUCUAGCUUCGUAGUCGUUAAUAAUAGAACAAAUACUUUCUGUGAUUACUUCUAUGAGUAGAUCUAUAACCUUAUAACCUGCAACACAAAUACAUGUGAUCUAAGGUAAAUAAAUGCCUAAGGAUCACCAAGUAUAGAACAUAAAAAAACAUAUUACAAUACAGACCUCUAUAUACAAUCACCUAAACAAAAUCCUCGUGCAUUUUUUUCUUCCCAUUCUACACAUUACAAUUCUUUUUGGUGGUAAGAUAUUCAUAUCCCAUCUUAGGAGUAUAAAUACUAGAUGCUAAACCUUCCCGUUUUAAGAAAUCAUGAACUCCUGCAUAUCUAGUAAGGGGUGGAAAGUCUAUUGCACGUCAUGAGAAUAGGAUCGCUGCUAGAAGAACUAGCAGUGAUGCUGACAAUCACGAGUCAUUAGGCGUCGACCAUGACUCGGGAUUGUCGAGUGUGAUGCCGCAACAUCGAGGGGGAGUCCCUCCACAAUGGGAUUCAUUUACACUUAAAUACAAGGCCUAGUGGAAGGAUGACCUUUCAAUCUAAGUUUGAUUUGCUUUUACAUUGACAUGUUUAAUAUUUUUUUUUAAAAUAAUUUUAUUUAAUGAAAGCAAUUUCAGGUUUAUAAACAUUGAGGCUGUGAGAACAAUAACAUAGGCCUUUAAAUCUUAGAUGGAAACUCCAAACAUCCUGAAUGAAACUACAAGUCGAUGCAUGAUUUUCAAGAUUUAAGGUCAGUAUUAACUUAAAUAUUUUUUAUUAUGUUAAUUUGGUUAGUUUAUUGAAAUUACUGAAAUUUUCCUUUUAUAAAUUUUUACUACAAGAGAAAAUUUGAACAGGAGAGAGCUAAUGAUAAUAUUGCGAGGAAGGGUUGGAAGAAUCAUGCUGCAACUAGAUAAGAUCAAAAUCACGAUAAUUUUUUUUUUUCAAAUAUUUAAAUUUUAUUUUUCAUUUACUAAAAGAUAAUUUAUUGGCAACAUAUAGGUUGCGUGAUUUUUGGUACGAGACAUAAAAGAAAACAAAAAAAAUGCGAGAGAAAGCGAGCUUCCAACGUGGAAUGAUGUGGCAGUUUGAAAGGAUUUUAGAUCGCCAUAUGUCUCGGAGGCUGUAUGGGCGGACUACAUUCAGCACGUGACAUCCACAUGUUUCACUCGAUGGUCACAGUCCGGUGCGAAGAACCAACACUGACAUGUUCACGAUCGUUAACAUGCACACUGACAACUUUGUUUCGUUCGUUUCGCAUGCGAAACAGAUGGUAAGAUUUUUUUUAUUACUUCCAUUUUUUUUUGCAAAACAGAUAGUAAGAUUUUUUUUAUUACCUCCAUUUUUUUAUUUGUUAUUUUUUAUAAUAUAUUUAACUGCUAACAUUUUUAUCUUGCAGGCUACGAUUCUUGGACGCGAGCCAAGCUCGAAGAAGCUUUUUGUUGAAACGCAUGUGCGAAGUGAUGACUGCCAAAAAGAGGUGCAACAGUUCGUGGAUAGCUGAGCUCAACAAUUUUUAGUAUGUUGGUUUUCAACAAUUUUUUUUAUUAAGCUAUAAUUUUCUUCAAUUUGAUUAAUUUAUUUUUUCUUUGUAGUAUACAUAUAAUAACCAUUUAAAGAAGAGAUACGGGGAUGAUCCUUCGACCAAUUCAGAUCUCUAUCUGUAUUUGUGGUUGAAGACAAGAUUAUCUGGUGGGCUCGAUAGAAAUUGAGUGUAUAAAAUCUCCAACACUACAGCCGAGAACUUGUAGACAACCCAUAAUGUUUCGAUCGUUAGAUGCUCUUAAUCAGUUCCGAGCACUCAAACUCUCGAGUUCGAAGGGAUGUUAGACCAAUGAGUACAUGAUCAAAUGACUCAUCUUAAUAAAAAAUAUGAAUCACUCACUGCGGAUUAUAAAGAACUCCGCCGAGUAGUAAUAAAGAUGAGAUCACAUAUGAGUGGUUUAUAUGCUCCUCCUUAUUGGCCUGAUGGUCCCUGUGACGACUAGCCUCCUUCUUAUCCUCUAACGCCCCCUUUAUUUUAGAUCUAUUGUAUUUGAUUGUACAUAUGUUUAAAUUUGUAAUAAAUAUUUAUUUUUAUAUUAUUUUAAAUUUUGUUUUUUUAUAUUUGAUUUAUAUUUGAUUAUAAUUUAUUUUAAUUAAUUUUUCUACUUUUGUUCAAUAUAUAUUUUUUAAGAGAGUUGGAAAAGAAUUACUGCAAAUAUCAUUGUUACUGUUAACUCUCCGACAUAAUUAUAGAUGGUAUUCUGUCAGUGAUAUGUUAUAUUUAUCGAUGGAUAUACUGACAGACAAAUACAAACACCAACAAAAUUGCAUACAGUAUUUUGUUGGUUAUACGACAAACUUUCCAAGGGAAAUACUAACAGAAUGAAGCAGGUAAUUUUUUUUGGCGCACUUUAUCCAUCUAUAAAUCCAUCAGUAAAUUUAUUAUCGACGAACUCACUAACAGACCAGAAAUUACCAACAAGAGUUUUUUCAAUGAAAUGUUUCUAUCCGUGAGCCCGUCGGUAAAAUACUUACCGAUGAACUGUGAGUGUAAAUACCGACAGAAAUUUCUGUCGGUAAAACUAUUAAAUCUGAUAGUGUUGAAUGAUGAUCCUUUUUACAUUUUUUUUCUAAUCUUAAUUGAGUUUCUAUUUAUUUUGUUUUCUUCAUUUGUAUGAUAUUUCAUCUUUUUUGUUCCCUUUUUUAAUUUUUGCUUAUCCUUUUGCUGUCUAUUUUUUUUUCUUCAAUUUUUAUGAUUUUAAAAAUAUGUUGGAAUUGGGGUCAAAAUGGGUAUAAUAUACCAUUGACCAUCAUAUGACGAGAAUACCUUAAAGAACUAGUAGGGAGCCAUUGCCAUACCAUUAGCCAAAGAAAGACUAAUUUUUGGAGGGAACCUGAAGCCAAUUCGAAUGAACUUCCACUUUGGGUGUGAGCUCCCAUGAAGAGAAGGAAUUAUGGUAAGUAGAGUUGGUUCAAGGUUAUCACUUAAUAAAAAGUCUUAUAAAUAAGAUAUAUUUAUUAAUUAUGUUUUAUAAAAUAAAAAUGGCUUUCAGUUUACAAAAAAAAAAAAACUCCUCAAAUAUGAAAUGAAAAUUGUACAAAACCUCACUUGUUAAACACAUAUAAAAAAUAAUAAGAAAAUAAUUCUCAAAUAUUUCAAAAAAUUACAUUUAUAGUUUUAUUCAAGACCCUAUUAACCUUACACAGACUCUAGUAGUAAGAUAUUCAUAUCCCAACUUAGGAGUAUAAAUACCAGAUACUAAACCUUUCCAUUUUAAGCCAUCAUGAACUCCUGCAUAUCUAGCAAGGGGUGUAACCCUAAUCAAAUCAACAAUUAAAGCUAGAUAAAGAGUUCGAACCUCCCAAAAUCCCAGGAAUGAUUAGGAGAAAUAAUGUCAGGCAUCAGUAAGGACUUAAGAGAAGGAUGAAUCUGAUCCGCCAAUCUACUUAGAGGAUAAUCAACAAUCCACUGGUCAUACCAUAAGGAAACAGAUCCACCAUUCCCCAACUUGCCAUGAAUAAUCUUCCCUUAAAAAAGAGGAGGCUUUUAAAAUAUAUAGCACGCCAAGGCGGAGAGAUUUUGUGACCUGGAGAAUUAUUCAUUAUGCAACAUGGUGAAAACAAAAGAUAGUAUAUCUAAUACUCUUUUUAAAAGAAAUUCUUUCGCAGAGUAUUUAUUUACAGCAUUUAUAUAUAUUCGUAUAUAUUAUCAAUUAAUUUCUUACCAAUUGGAGCAUAUUCCAACCUUUUCUAAGGUCAUUAAAACUACCCAGAUUAAAAAAUCUCUAUAAUACUGCUCACCACGUAUUUUGUGAAGGCAAUUUGAAGUUCAUUUGAAUUGCCAACCACGUACAAUAUUCCUUCCCUAAUGUGCAUCAAAGUUUCUCACACGUAUCUCUUCUUUUCUUUUUUUAAUCCCGAACUAGAAAAACAAAUGUGAAGCAUCCUUUCUAUAAAAUGCCUUCCUAGCGACCAGCCUCCCUCAUCAAUAGUCAGUAAUUUCGUACAUCUUUCUUCGUGCUUUGCAUUGCAAUGGCUCUAACCCGUUUUUUCUUCGCAGCCUCUAUCCUUCUUUUGUCAUCCUUGGUCAUUACUUCUGCUAAUGAUUAUAGCUAUGACUCGAGGACAGACACUGUUAAACCUGGCUAUCACCCAAAAUCAGACGCAAAUAUUUAUGAUAACACCCCGAAACCAGACCUCCCCAAGCCUACAUUAACCAUACCAAAAUCAGACAACGAAAAACCAAAUUAUGGGUAUGAUUCAAUCCCAGAAGCUCCACUCCCCAUUGGGAUUGAAGGUCUUGUUCUUUGCAAAUCAGGCUCUAAUUAUAUUCCCAUUAAAGGUAAUCUCUCUGCACCCAAUAUAUUUUUAUGCUCUGUUACAUUACAGCUUUUAUAUUUAAAGCUACUUGAUUUUGACUCUGCAUGGAGAGUUCUCAUUUAUUUAAAAUAAUAUUGUAUCUGAAUUUCCUGAACUGGACAUUAGCAUCACUCUGGUGAUAAUAAAUCAUCUUAUUUUUCUUACAAAAAGUGAGGCAAAGGUUAUCCACCUUAAAUUAUCUUUUAUCAUGUGCAGGAGCUCUGGUAAGGAUAGCAUGUAUGGCUGUGGACCAGAACGGAUACGAGACAACACCUUUCUCAUGCUUGACUGGGGCAACUGACGCAAACGGUUACUAUUACAAAACAUUGCCUGCUUUUGGACUUGGUGAUUUGAAAGUCACAGAAUGCAAGGCCUACCUCGAAAGCUCUCCAUUGGAGACCUGCAAAAUCCCAACAGAUGUCAACAAUGGCAUGAGCGGUGCCCUUCUUUCUUCUUACCACAUCCUCAGCAAAAACAUUAAAUUGUAUUCUAUGAGAACUUUCUUCUACACCUCCGAAACAACACCAACUCCUGCCGGCGGUUAUUAAAUUUCUUCUUGGCUUACCUUAUCUUUUAUUUUUCAAACUUUUGGGAUGGGAAUUUGAUUGCAUUCUUAUUGUUUAUUUAGUUUAAUUUAUUUUGAUUGUCUUGAUUUAUUGCUCAAUAUAUUUGGAUUUUAAGAUUAUAAUAAACUUGGUUCUUUAUACAUCAAGAAGUUAAAGAACUUGUUCUUUUCUAUUUCUUUGUAGAUAAGCAGCUUUGCAAUAAUUUUGAUUUGAGUUCAGUUGCGCCAGUAAAUGGACUUUUGUGAAAAAAGGUUUGCGGAAAGCCUAAACUUAUACUGAACGCCUCGUUAUUAUAGCUUUGUAAGUGGACCUUUUCUUCUCUAAGAAUAAAAAGGUUAAUGAAUUUUAUUAAAGAAGUUAAAAGUGCAUGUUCAUUUCAAUCUUUUGUGCCGCGUUACAAAACGAUUACGAUUGAAUCAUUAAGUGUCCUUUCUCUCUCUAUUUCUUGUCUUUUUAUCCUGUGCAUAAGAUAUAUAUAUAUAUAUAUAUAUAUAUAUAUAUAUAUAUAUAUAUAUAUAUAUAUAGAGAGAGAGAGAGAGAGAGAGAGAGAGAGAGAGAGAGAGAGAGAAGGAUUUCAAGAAAAAAAAAAUGUAUUGAAGCCUCAUCCUAUUAAAAAAAAAACUCACCUUCUCAUGAUGUAUAAACUCAUAUUUUAAUUUUAUUAUUUUAAAAUAAAAUUCAUUAAUUUUUUUAAGGUAAUAUGAUCUUUUAUUUAUGAUUUAUUGGUUAUUCUCAAAUUGAUCAUGGAGAAAUUGGUCUUCACACUUUUUUUUCAUAGUAAAAUAACUUAUUUAUCCUUAAAAGCAAAAAGUAUAAAAUUACCUUCAGGUGUUUUUUAGUCUUUUAUUAUUCUAAACACAACAAAAUAAUUUAAUUACUCUUAAAAUCAUAAAAUUAUUAAACUAGCUUCAAUGGGCUUUUUCAUCUUUUCCUUAAGUUUUUUUUUUGUUAUAAUCAUAUUGAUUGGGAGCAAUUUAAUAUUUUAAUAAUAUACAAUAAUAUUUUAAAAAAGACAACCAGCACAUGCAAGGCAUGCACUAGCGGGACAAGGCACGAACCAACAGAUGAAAGUCAUUAACACCUUUCAGGCGGAGCAUGAGAGCUUUUCCAGUGGCAAAAAACGUUCAACCAUCAUGUCAUCUGAAGGGUCGAGUGAUGACACAUCCAAUGAGGUGACACAUAUAGCGUUAUGAACAACAGUUCAUUAGCGAUGAAAUCUUUUUCUUCUCCCUCUUUUUUCUAUGUUCUUCCAUUGGGAUUCACACUGGUCUAGCAAAAAAAUAAAAGUUUUCCUCCCAUUUAUUUUUAUUUUAAUUGUGAUCAUCAUUCUUUUCAUUUCUAUUUAUUUGUUUUGAAUCCUUGUUUUGAUUUUUUUUUCAAUUUCAUUCCUUACCAUUUGAUUUUAUUUGAUUUUUAUAUCAAAUAUGGUCCUCAUUCUUUCGAUUGUUAUUUUUUUAUUUCCUUAGUUGAAUUUAUUUUUCAAUUUCAUCCCUCAUCAUUAUUUUUAAUUAUUAUUUGUUUUGUUUUGGAUCCUUUUUUGAAAUUGAUUUUACUUUUUUAAUUUUAUCUUUCAAUAUUGGAAUGGUUGAGAAUUGAGCUUCGUAACUUUUUCAAUACGGUGAUACUAGUCUCAUGACUCAGGUCACAAGUUUGAAAUGUUAACCCAGAUUGAUAUUGGUCUUUUUUUCUUCUUUUUUUUCACAUUGAUUUUCUUUUUUAAUUAUAUUAUUCAGUAUUGAGUUUAUUGAAGAUUGAGAUUUUUUUUAUUUGCUUUCUUUGGGGAUAACUCAACCUCAUGAGCCGGGUCAUGAAUUUGCCCUGCUAACUUGGAUUGGCUCGGAGCUUUUACAUUAUUUUAUUUUUAAGUCAAUUUUUAUCCUCAUUCUUUUAAUUGAUUUUUUUUGGAUUUGGAUAUGUUUUUUAGAUUUUCUUUCAAUUUCAUAAUUCAAUAUUGGAUUGGUUGAGAAUUAAAUUUUGUAAUUUUUUUCGAUGCGGUGAUCCUUGUCUCAUGACCCAGAUCAUGAGUAUGAAAUGUUAACAUGAAUUGCCAUUUGUAUUUUUUUUAUCAAUCUUUUUUUUUAAUUUCAUCCUUUAACACUAGGUUUGUUGAAUAUUCAACUUCUUUAUUAUUAAUGUUUUUGCUUUCUAUGAGGAUAAUUCAGCCUUAAGACCAGCAUCAUGGGUUUGCCAUACUAACUUAGUUUGAAUUAGGGCUUUUACAUCAAUUUAUUUUACUUUACUUUUAUGUCAAAUUUAGUCAUCAUCCCUUUUAAUUGCUAUUUUUUUUUAUGGUUUGGGUCCUUUUAUUUUUAUUUUUAUCCUUCAAUAUUUAAUUAUUAAGAAAUACAUUUCAUAAUAUUUCUCUAAAUGGUGAUUAUUGUCUUAUGACUCAAAUCAAGAUUAUGAAAUGUUAACCUGAAUUGACAUUGAUAUAUUUACUAUUUUUUUUAAUCAUAUAAUUAAAUUAAAUUAUCUUAUUAGACCCAGUAGGGUCUAUGACUCGAGCCAUAUAUUUUUUUAUGCUUUAAAACACAAUAGCAAUGUUUGAAUAUAUUUUAUUAAGUUAAAAAAAAAUCAACUUGGCCGACAACGAAACACCGACAAUCUAUCAAGUACCAUCCGAAAUGACUCAAUAUUAUAAUUUCCACUAUUAUCUUAGCUCUCAUACAUCCAAAAUGUCCUAUCUCAGAGGAGGCCAAAAUAAUCCAAGUCUUUCUCUUUUGGUAUAUAAAAUGAGUGUUUAAAUAAAAUAUUUGUAUAUUUCAUAUGAAACAUUGAUGAUUCUUGGGAAAAUAAAUAUCUUUUAAUAAUUUUUUUGGUUUAGUAUUUAUUUAUUUAUUUUUAUUUUCCCAUUAACUAUCAUUGGUUUUUCUAUUUUUUAUUUAAAGAUAAUAUUUUUUUAAUUUUUAUUUUCCUAUUCAAUAUUAAUAUCCUUUUGGUAUUGUCUAGUUUUUAUAUAUAUAUAAAAGGUUGAAAUAGCCUUUUGAUAAGUAAGACUUGGAUAAAUAAAAAUUACAUAUUUUAAGUCUCUUCCUAUUAUUAUGAUGUUCUUGGUUUUUGAUAGUUUUGACUUAUAAUAUAUCUUGUUAUCCUUUUUUUCCUGUUAUGUUAGUUGGUAUCAAAGUCCAAUGAUUCUUAGUAGUUAGCUAGCUAUUGUGUUUUGUUAUUAGAAAUCUUGGUGGUAAAAUGCAUGAUAAAGUGACCCACAUAAAGGUGUAGGGACCCAUGAUAGGGUUGCUUGUGCAUAAAAAGAUCAUUGGUUUUCUAAUUGAGGAGAUUCUGCUCCAAGAAUGUUAGGUUAGAUGUUUUUUGUUUGUGUAUACGCUUGUAGCUAAUGUGUUGGUUACACAUGACUCUAACUUUGUUCAUAUAAACUUAUAUUUAUGAUUAAUAAAGGCUUUCUUUAUCUUUAAUAUUUAUUUAUAUUUGAUUAAUGAGUUUAUAGUAAAAAUAAAAUUCAUGGAACAAAAAUAUUUUGCAAAUAAAAUUAUAAAGUGAUUAUAAUUAUGACAUUCCUAUUGCUUCAAAGCAUUAUUCCUAAAUGUUUCUAGUCAUUAAUGUAUUAAGAUUGAACAUUAAUUAGGGAUGUCAAGUUUGAUACAUAUUAUGUUUUUUUCUUUAUGAAAGGAAAUAAUUGUUUUUUUAAGCUGAGGUAUGAGGGAUACUUAUAACUAAUAUAUAGAUGCUUGUCAAAUGAUAUAUACACUAAACUAACCCAUAUGAGAAUUCCAUAUGAAAAAAUUAUAUUUGUAUAUGGAAAGACUCAUGUGAUGGUUGUAAAAGUGAUGCAAAGCCGGAGGGUAAGAAUCCUAUAACCCACAUGCAAGAAAGAACAAAGCCAAGAAAACUAGAAUCGGAUUUGGAUGAUAAAAGCUCGACACAAUGAUUACCUAAACUAAAGUAGCAAAACUAUUGGAAUGAAACCCCACCUAACAAUUAUAAAAAAUCAUGAACGAGAAGUAUAAGGAAAAUAUCAUGAAGAGACUUAUUAUUUGAUAAGUUAAGUCAGUUCAAUAAAGAACCAAAAAGUAUAAGUUUUGCUCAUACACAUAAAUAUUAUUUUGAAACCAAAGUGAUGCAAACCUCAUGAUCACGCGGUCACGCAACCCACAAUCAAGACUAAAAUAUGAUCCUGAAAUGUUGAAAGAGAUCUGAUAGAAGAAUGACACAAUGAAAACCUCUUCUAAAGAAUACAAGAAUCACUCUCACGCACAAGCUGAAAAUUUAGAAUGAUAUUAUUCAAUGACUAUUAAAUUUUAGGCUUACAAAGAGUUUAAAUACUUUUAUAAAAUAACCCCAAUGAAUCUACCUAUAUGGAUUAAAUUGGAUCACUUACAAAAUUGACUCAAACCCUACACUGAUAAGCCCCAAAAAAUGAUCUAAACAAGCUUGGAUCUUAGCUGAAAACCAAGUACUAAUUAAGCCUGAACAUGAAUAAAAUAAUAAAAGUAACAAAUCUGACACAUAAACUAAAGUUGUUGCACCUAAUUAAAUAAAAUAAUCUAAGAUAGACAAAUUUCUUGAUUUAAAUAAUGUCAUAAAUGAAAUUUUCAUCAUGGAAGCACCAAGGUCUUUAUAGCCAGCUUUAGAUAUCCAAAAUAAGUUAGGAAUUUGUUUUUUGAAGUUGCCUUCAUUCCUUGCUUGUCUAGGAUAAUUAAUUAAAGCUUUAAAGAACUCUCUCAAAACAUGGAAAUCCUUGUUACUUUCCUUUAACCUUUAUUGUAGGAUUAGGAAAAUCCCUAAAAUAAGCUAAUCAAUCUAUCAUUAAAUACCACCAACACUUCAUUCCUUGUGUAGCUAGGAUGAAUAAGAAAUCCUUGUAGGACAAGGAUUUUGGAACACUAAUGAAUCCUUACCACACUUGGAGAUUAUGUAGUAGCCCAUCAAAUAUCUUUGUAGAACUAUACAAUUCUCAAAACAAGCUAUCACAUCCUUGUAGAAAAAUGAUCAUUGUCAAAUAUAAAGUCCACAAGUCAAAAGAAAGUAAAUAACAAAAUUUGUACAACCUGUUCUGACCUAUAUUGCAAGGCCUUCUUAAACUCCGAUGACCUGAAAUUUUACCUUAACAUGGAAAAAUACCUUUGGAGUUAUACUCAAUAAAGUAAAAUUAUACAGUAGAAAAUUUACAUCAAAAUCUAAAUCUGACCUUGCUUUGAUCGUAUCAUUCCUUCUUUUCAAGAUGAUUCGUCCUUGAAUUACCAAUAGGUAUAAUGGACAAUUCUUUAUAAUUUUCUGUAAUUAUAAUAUUUAUUGUCUUUAAGAAUUUUAACUUAUAAUAAAUUUUAUUAUCUAUUACUCUCGACUGUGCCAAACCUUCACACACACAUAUACACAUAACUAUAGUGAUUAAAACCAAGCCUAUGGACCAAUAUGAUGAAUAUAUGCAAUAAGUUUUUUAGGUGUUUACAAUAUGAAUAUUCUCAAUGUAUUUUUUCUAUACUGAUAUUAAGUUUUUGUUGUUGGGUCUUAAACAAGCUAUCCAUAUCCUAACUAUUUAUAAAAAGUUAUUCUCUUAGCUCACUCAUAAAGAUUGCAAUCAUAAAUUUCCAAUCAUAAAUGAUAAAUGUGAAUAUUAAAUUCAUUUAUUAAAUAGAUUAAACCUCUAACAUCUUUUAUAUACGAUCCUAUUUGAAUGUUUGGCCAGAUGUAUAUUCACUUACUAGAUGUAUGCUUAGUCUACUGUAUGAUAUUAUAAUUGAUUAUGUUGUAUGUGACAUCUUUGAUGAAUCAAGGUUAAAAAUAGAAAAUAAGAGUUGACACCUAACUUUAUGAUAACUAGAAACCCAUAGUGAUGUUUCAAAUAUUAUUGGGUAAGGGGAUGAUUAUGUCAAAAAAAGAUGAAAAUCACCCUAAGACAUCCUAUUCAAGGUAAGUUAUAUUUUAUGGUAAAAUGCAUCUAUAAUGCCUUUAUACUAAGUAUUUUGUUUUGUCUAAACUAACGUUGAUACAUUUACAGUAAAGGAUAAACAAAACCUUAAAUAAUAAUUUAGGAUACGAGGCAUCUUUAUAAGGCGUAAUCCUUAUAUUUUAAAGUACGAUUGUUGAACCCAAGAAAUGUUGAAUUGGGUUUUUGAUGCGAUCCAACCAUCAAAGGAUCCAUUGGAGGUUCCAGUUGGUCCAGUUACUAGGCUUAGGGCUAAAAAGUUCAAAUAAGCUUUCAAUGGACUUCUUCAGAAGACAUGAGCUAAGGUGGAUUUUAAGUGGAUUUGUAAUAAUAAAGAGCAAGCCUUGAUUAAUCUGAUUCAUGUUCAAGAGGGGCUUCUUGGUGGAACCAAGACCAUUACACAAGGAUUGUUAGAAGAAGACUAGAUUCGGACAGUUUGACCUUGUGUUACUCUUUUGGUCAUAACUGGAGCUACAUAUUGAAGUUUUAUGUGAUUCUAAUUGGGAUGAAAACUAGACUUCCAUGCCUUUCCAACGGUAUAUGGAAUGCCUUCUAAUUCAUUAAGACGAAAGAGAAACAUCCGUUUUAAGUUGAGCUUUUGCUGCUGACAGACAGAAUGCGGAAACAACGAACUUGUCUUAUUUAAUUAGUUGGGCUAUCAAAUUUUAUUUAUUUUGAGAGGAGACAUUUAUUUGGGUCUUAGACUUGUUUAUUUUAAUUAUUUUGGGCUAGUUUUAGCUUGGGUUGAUUAUUAUUUAAAUUGGACUUAUGUGAGACCCAUUAGGAAAACUAGGGUUUUGGCUUGGAGUUUAAAUACUCUUUAGGAAUAAUUUUAGGGCAGACUUUUUAUGAUAUUUUCAGCAUUGUAGCCGACUUCUUGGUUGCUCAAUCUUGGUUCUUGAUUGAACUUUCAACUCUUCAAAGAAGUGACAAUUCUUUGUUGUGAAUUUAUAUUUCUUUUGCUCGUCUCCAGGUGUAGGCGUUGUGAUCGAGUUGGUUUAUAGCAUAGUUUUUAAACCCGACCUGGUGAUCGACCGGUAUAAUGAUCGGGUCAUGGGUCAGAUGGGUUGACCCGGGUUGACCAAAAAAAAAUGAUUUCUUCGCAGUUAAGGACUUGAAAAAGUUGGCCUUUCUCUUACGUGUCCUUGCAAUUAAAACCAACAAAAACAAAUACUAGCACACUUGGAACCACUGCUACUUUUUCUACUUCGCUUGCCAAACAAGAAUUCUUUGAUUCAAGAUCCCCUUGUGCCCAACAACCCUCAGCUCCUCAAUCUUAUAUAGGACCCCCACAUCAUAUCUCACAUCAAAGAUCAUUACGAUUCCUCUCCUAGAAUGUUUUUGUAGAUUCUGAAAAUUUUAUGGUAGAUCAUGAUAGAAAUUGGAAAGAGCGAUUGAGAACAGCUGGCUUGACCCAUAGAAAACCAGAAGGCUAGCAUUUGAUGCUGCUACUGACCAAUAAAGGUAUGCAAGUUGUAGACAUAAACCAUACCCCUCCAGCCAUCCCUCAUACAAACUUGGCUUUUGUUGCUCUUCGAUUUCUGUUUCUUUCUUGUAAAAAGUAAAAUUACAGUGUCUUAAUUCUUGGUUUUGCAGCAAUAAAAAAAAACCCAUAAUUUCCUCACUUAUUCCAUAUCAUUUUUAUUCUCAAACUAGAAUUUUAAUCUUUUAUUUGACAGCAACAGAAGAGAAGGUGAGAGAUAGAGUCAUGACUCUCAGCGAGUUAGUAAUACCUUUCCCAGAUGAAGAACAAAAAAUUAAAGAGAUAACAACAACUUAAUCUUACCUUCAUUUGCAGAUCUGAAGAGCCAAACAAGUAAAAAGCUUGUCUUGAACUUAAAUUCCUCUUAUCCUUUUCUACUGCGGAUGAGAUUACUUUUCUAUAUAUAUAUAUUAAAACAUAGCCGGGUUUACCCGGGUCGACCGGGUUCCGGGUUGACCCUCCGGGUCGACCGGGUUUUACCGGGUUAAAUCCCUAACCGGUUUUUUCAUCAACUCGGCCCGGUUCCAGCUCCGGGUCAGCUGGGUCCCGGGUCAACCCGCCGGGCCGGGCUGGGUUUUAAAACUAUGGUUUAUAUAGUCUUGUUGCCUUGGAGCAAGUCUUUCAUUGUGAUAAACUUAUUCAAAUCUCAACAAACUUGGAUUAGAUUGAUCUUGAGAUCGUGAAUUCCAUUAAAUUCCGCUAGGGUUCACAUAAGCUUUGGCCCAUUUACUUUGGUUUUGUUUUUUCUUUUCAAAAUAAGUCUGAAAGAUACCAUUUGCACUUAAUGAGCCUUGAUAGGAUUACAUCGAUCCCACUCAAAUCUAUUCACAAGGUAAUAAUAUAUAUAUAUAUAUAUAUAUCCUACCACUUGGAUAUAUCUAAAUAAGCAUUUUCAAACAUGUACCACUUGGAUAUAUCUAAAUAAGCAUUUUCAAACAUGAAAAGAUAGAGAAAGAAGCAUAUUUAAGGACAAAGAGUAAAAUAAUAUUUAAAUUAAAAGGUUAUUGUCAUAGAAAACAAUAAGACACCUUCUAACUUACAAGUCUAGACUCAUAUAAAAAAAUAUUCUAUAUUCUAGAAAAGGAAAAAAACAAUAACACGGAAAACAAGAUAUUUUUAUUAUACUAUUUUUUUAUUAUGAUUUUUCAUAAUUAAAAAUUGUAUCAAAACUUUUCACCUUUUUUUACUCCAUUAUAAACUCGAUUGGUCUACUUAAUCACAAUCAAAUAUCAUCAUUCAACUCAACUAUUAUAUUUUUUUCUUUAUUAUAUUAUUUGAUUAUUUAUAUAAUUUGAUCUCUUUUUUUGCCUGAUAUUUUCUCAACCCAAUCCUUUUAUCAUUUUUUUAAAUUGUUUUCAUGACAAAACAUUGGAAAAUCAUUCGGUCAAAACUCAGUUAUGAUAAAUUGAACAACAUCGAAACAUAAUCUUAAAAUGGAACAAUAAUAUGAAUUUUAGCUUUUUCUUCAUAUAACUUAAUACUAACUAAUGUUACAUCGUGUGUCGAGUAGAAUGCUAUACCUUUAACAUCCUUAUGGACUGUUAAAGGUUUAAGUGCGUUUGGCACAAGCCGAAAAAUGGUGAAUUUUAUUAUAUAUUAUAUUAGAUUUUAGAUUAAAAAAAUCUAGUAAUACAAAUUUGUGGUCCAAAAGUAAAAUAAUAAUGUCAAUUUAUUGAGAUAUAUAUGUGUGUGUUAAAAACAAGAAACAUGGUGACUUGUAAAUAAGAACGAAUCCAUAAUCUAAUAGUUUAGAUUUUAGGAUUGAAUGCGGUCCAUUCUUAUAUAUAAUUUGUUAAUACUUUACUUUAAGAUAAAAUAAUAAAACUAAUAAAAUAGGUUGCCAUACACAGUGGUGGAAGUAGAAAAUCAAAUUAAGAGAGGCUAAAAUUUUAAUUACUUUAUUACUUAAGCUAAAAUUAUAAAUAUUAUUAAGAAAGGAGCUGGAAAAAAAAUUCCUUGCAGGGCCAGCUCCUCCCUGGCUCCGCCCCUGGCCAUACAGUCUCAAAUAUUUUUAGUAUGAACACAUCGUUUGUAGCGGGAAAAAGAAAAACCCCCCAUGAUUGAAUUGUGUGGGUCCGGGGCAGAUAGCAUGAAGAAAAAAAACAAGAAAAACUAUAAGACGUGCAGUCCAAUAUAUAGCAGCACCGGGCCAUGUCUAUGGAUAUAAUAUGGAGAGACUAUCAAUCGUGCAGCCAAAUUACUUCCAUCAUCAAAUAUAUAUAUAUAUAUAUAUAUAUAUAUAUAUAUAUAUAUAUAUAUAUAUAUAUAUAUAUAUAUAUAUAUAUAUUCGGCAUGUAAUAAUAAGAUUGAAACCUUAUAAAAGGUCUUCAUGCUAUCUUCCAUCCUUCAUCCCAUUCCCUUCCUUUUCUUUCUUGGUAUCCCUUACAAGAUAAUGGCUCCUACCUCUUCCUACUUCGCCUUCUUCAUGUCCCUGUCAAUGGUGGCUGCUAUUGCUUCGGCUACUGAUGGGGGGUAUGGUUCACAUCCCAACCCUAACCUUGUAAAACCGAAGCUAAACAAGGAGAAGCCUCUCUCAACAAUGAUCGGUGUUCAAGGCCUUGUUUAUUGCAGAUCAGGCCCUAAACGCUUUCCACUUGAAGGUAUCCCAAUAAUUCUUUUUAGAAAAAAAGGAUUGCCUUCUCUUUAAUAGGUGCAAAAGGACUAUACAUAAUUUUAUUCCUUAAAAAAAAAUGCAUGCACAAGAACAUCACUAUGUAUCUUUUUUGCUGCGAGUGCAGGAGCUGUGAUAAGGAUAACAUGCCUGGCUAACGAUGUGUAUGGAUACGAAGCAGCGCCAUUCUCAUUUUUGAGUGAAGCAACCGAUGCUAAAGGCUACUUUUUCGCCACGCUGUCCCCAUAUGAAAUGCAGGAUAAUUUGAAGAUUAAAGAGUGCAAGGCUUUUCUUGAGCUAUCACCAUUGGAGACCUGCAAAAUUCCUACCGAUGAGAAGCAAGGUAUUUCUGGGGCUCUUCUUGCUUCUUACCACUACCUUAGUGAUAAGAAAAUGAAGUUGUUCACCGUGGGGCCUUUCGUUUACACCUCCGCACCCAACUCAGGCUCUAAUUAUUAAAGCAGCUUUUGCCGUUGGCCUUCAUUCUUGUAGCUCUUUUCAUUUCAACGAUGUUCACUCAAAUCAUGAACUAUUCUAUAUAUAUAUAUAAUUGGGUUAAUUUUAUUUUUGUUAUUUGGUUGGCUCUUUUGGUUGAAGAGAGAAUAAUAUGUAAGGAAAACUUCAAAUGCGAAAAUCAAUAGUAUCAAAAGAGAGAAAAAGCUUUUAAAUUUUAAUCUGGCUAAUAUAUAUAAUACUUGGAUCCCCGAAAGCAUUCUUGGUCGCUAUUCACUUGCAUAUAUGGAGUGUUAUAUGAUAUUCCGUCUACAACUACAUGCCGGCAGGGUUGUAGUUUGUACGACGUGUCGGCAUAAGAGGCCGGUGGCAUGGUUGAUGAACAAAAGUGUUUGUCAUAGGCCAAAAAAUUUCCUGCUGGUUCAACACCUACCAAUCUACCCUCUCUUCUCAGCUCUCCCCUGCUUUUGUUUUUUUCUCCCUAAAAAAAAAAAAAGCUAAAAACACAAAAUAGAAAUCAAAGGAUGUGUAAUGUUACACAUUUGUAUAUUGACUCCAAUCCGGAUUUAUUUAUUUAAAUUUAGGCUUUUUAUACAUAAAGAAUUACAGGGAAGAAUGAGUUUUUUUUUCUCUUUUUUACAAAAAAAUUUCUUACAAGAAAAACCAACAAUGAAAAUAUAUAUAUAUAUAUAUAUUGUUGGUUUUUCUCGUAAGAAAUAUAUAUAUAACCUACCAUGCUAUUCCAAAGUCAUUCAUUGUUCAUUGGAUUUACAUAUAAAUUUGGUUUUUAUUUUUAUUUAAUUGAUCAAAUUUUUAAUUUUGAUGGAAGUAAUGAUUAAUCCAAUAAAAUUUAUAAUAAAUUGUUUGAAUUUCAUCGUUGAGUAUAUUAUCUAAUUUAAUUAAAACAAAAGAGUGCUCAUUGACGGAUUCUAAAUCAAUAUGUUAAGUUGGUUUUGAUUUGAAGAAAAGAAAACUAUAGAUUAAAAUCUAUGAAUAACCUUUUCCAGCAUAAUAUUUCUAAAAUUAUUGAUUGAAUUCAUUGAAUCUUGUAUUCUUUUAAAUAUAAAUCGAUUUAUCAACUAUAUAUCACACGAUUAAAGUGAAGGGAGAAUCUUUGGAGUAAAUAAAUAUGCCAGGCAGAUAGACAGCAUAUAGGUCCAAAAAAGAUGUCCGCUUCCGAUAUUGUACCUCUUCUUCUUCACUCAUGCGAAAAAGUCAAUCCCUUUUUAUCUCUUUCUUCCCUCUGCUCAUAUUUUCAAGUUUGGAAUCGUUUGGACUCAUUACUUUAACAUCAAGACAGGAUCGUAACCAACACAACAUAACCGAACAAUAAUGGACAAGUGUGGAAGCCCUUCUUCUAAACUUAGGAAAAGCAAGGCAAAAAUAAGCAUAAAUACUGGAGGAUUGGUUGUGUUGGGUGGAACCCUGGCUGUUACUAGUUUGAUUGCUGCCGCUGCCGCUGCCGCCUUUGCUGUCAAGAGAAGGAGAAGAGAUAAGGACUUCUUGUGCAAAAAAGAAGUCAAAGACCUGAGUUUUAUCCUUCAAAAUCCGUCCUCCACUUUCCAUCAGAAUACAUGGUCUCAUUAACACAUUGUUUACUUCGAUUGUUUGUUUAUUUCUAUAUGUGUUUUAAUGCUUAAUACUUGGAAUUACCAGAAUGGUUUCUUAAUCUGCAGCUUGACAGAUGGAUCUACAGGGAUGCUUGCAGAAGAAACCCAGAUUGAUUCUAUUGAAAUGGUCUCCAUUGAGAGUGUGAUUUUGGUAAUUAUUGAUAAUUUCCCUUUCACAUAGAUGACGGAUCCAUCAGGGUCUACUUCUAUAUUAUGAUGUCAUACUGAUGCUGAAAGGGAUAUCAAAACUAGGAAUCAUUAUAUGUUCCUAAUAAUACCUUAUGAAAUUUGGUUCAGGAGGAGAACUCCGCAUCUGUGAUCAAUGGGGAAAUUGAGAAUUUUGAUGGCGAUGAUCAAAAGAUCCUCAUCACUGAUGAUCCAAAACAAGAAAUGAUUAUUGCAUCAUGUGAUAAUUGUUGUGCCGUCGAAGAACUUGCCUUGCCAGUACUUGACAGCAAGUCGAUGAGUGAAGCAGAGGACAAGAUCAAAAAUGAUUCUGAAGAGAACUCGUCAUGGUUGGAAAGAAUUGAAAUUAGCAGACAGGAAGAGGAAGUAGAUACUGAAAGGGUUAUGGAAGAAGAGACUAAAUCAGUGAGUUUGAUUGAAGAAGAAAAGGUAGAACAAAAAAGAGUAGAAGGAGAAGAGGAAGAAGAUGAGGAGGGACACAACAAUGAAGAAUAUGAUACGGAGGAAGAGUCAGUUUGCGCUGAAAAUUCAACUGCUGAGACAACUGUAGCAAUGCAUUUGGUUGAGGAGGAGGAGGAGGAUAGCGAUAGCGGUGAGGAAUAUGUCAUGGAGGAACGCUAUGAGAAUUCAGAAGGAACAGGAAGCACUUGCGCUGAAACCAAUGCAGAGGCAGUUUGGGCAGCAGAGUCAAUUGAGGUAUUGUCACAGAAACUCAAGAACGCCACGAUAAACAUGGAAAAUUCAGGAAAGAUGGUUAUGGAGGAAGAUGGAAUUACCACCAAAACUGAAGAGUUCGGGGACUCAAUAGAGGCACUGCCACUGGCAGUAAAGAACACCUCUGUAAACUUCCAAAGUUCGGAAUCAAAAGAGAAGAUUGUGGAGGAAGAUAGAGGCAACAAAACCCAAGAGUUUGGUGAUUUCAACGAAGCCAAAAGCAAUAUCCUCAACGAUGUCACAAAUAAUCAUGAGACCAGCAAAAAUCCAAAGUACUUGAAGAAGAAAGAAAUGCCAGAACUCGUUGAGGUGGAUAAUCAAACUACAGAGCCAACAAGGAUGAAAAUUUGGGUUUGUUCAAUAUUUCUACUAGCAUUUUUGUUGUUAAUUAUAUUUACUCAUCGCUCUUGUCUUGUUCUUAAUGGUGGUUCUUUACAUGUUAAUGAGGUUUAAUUGAGUGGAAAACAGAGAGAGAUAAGAGAUAUUCUCUGUGAAGUUAAGAAGAGCAAUAAGAAUUUCACAUAUCUAUUCUCGUUUGCCCCUCAAUCUUGCACAAAUUGUCCCUCGAAGCAUUACUUGUCCUCUGGUGAUUAUUUACACAACGAUAAUUGAACUCAAAAAACCCGGACUCUUAGAACAGGACAUGACGUCAACCAGGCGAUGGAAAUAAGUGCAGAUUAUGCAUAGAAAUCCCACAUGUCGAUCGCAAAUAAGUCGAUCGCAAAUAAGUGCAGAUUAUGCAUCGUUUUUCAGUCUUAGAUUUCGGCUAUCAAAAGGUGGUUGUAAAAUCCCACAAAUUAUUCUAAAAAUACAAGAUUAAAUUAUUUUUUUAGCUUGAUUUAUUUUUUUAGACAAAAUGAAUGCAAAAAACAAACACUGAAUUUUUCUUAUUGAAUAAAAUCUUUUGACACCAAACUUUGUUAAUUUGAUUGUUACAAUCGUGAUAACCAAUAAUUUUCUUUCUUCUAUUAUUCUUUGACGAGUUUUUCUUUUCCCUUUCUAAUCCAAGCCUAAAAAAUCAAAUAAAAAGAACUUUUAUACGAAAAUGAAAAUUAUUACAAAUUUAAAGUUAGCCAUAUAUUUUCUCCACUUUUUACUUUUUAGUCCUUUAUAUUUUAAUUUGGUAUUUUUAUUAGACCAUGAUGUAAUUGAAAGUAAAUUUUUUUUUUAAAAAAAUAUGAACCAUUAUUGUAAAACCUGGAUGAGACCAUUUUUUUUUUUUUAAAAAGUAAACAAAAUGGCUCCUUCUUCCCGUAUUCCAAUUCACUUCUUCCCCUAUUCUCUAUUCCAUCCCGCCCCCCCCCCCCCCCCCCCCCUAAUUUCAACAACUCCCUUGCUUUGUCAACCAUGUUGGAAGAGACCCAGUGUUUCACUUUUUCUUUGAAUGCUUGUAAGCAAUUGAAGGCAUAUGCUCGAAUUCCUCUCUUAAGUUAUUCAUUUACUUUUUGUAAAGCUUUAGUAUAUUCUUAGAAAAAAUAAGAAGAAAAUUGGAUUAUGAAUUUGAUUAAUUUAACUGUAAUUUGGCCGUUAUAAAUAUUAUAUAAUUUUUUUGAACUAUGCCUUAACAUGUCUAUGUAUUUCAACUUUUCUUUGUUUUAUAUAUAUAUAUAUAAAAUUGAUUGGUUGGUUGUAUUGUAACCAUUAUGGCAUGGGAAGCUAGAAAGCCACUAGUGAUAUAGAAAAUGGAGGUGGCACCAUCUCAGGCUAUGGAGGUUUGUUUGAACAUCCUCUUCACUUCUCUAUGCCAUAUUGAUGUUUACUUCUAGGAAGCUAAGGUAUGUGAUUGCAUUUUCAAACUGAAAAUUUAAUUAAUAUUAAUUUGAUAAUGCAUGUGAUCUUGUUUAAGGGCUCGCGUUUCUAGUUGUGCUUGCAUAGAUUGAUGCUUACAUAAUUAAUUAUGAUGAUGAUAAUUACACACAUUAGAAUCUUAUAUUAUGAUUGUGAACAUAGUGAGAUUUCUAUUCUAAUCAAAAUCAUUGUUGGCUUAUAUAAUCAUUAUAUGCAUGCACAUAUGUUUUAGGCAUAAUUAAUUAAAUGUGAACCUAUGACUAAUAAAAUAACUUUUCAUGUGCAAAUAAGAAAUGACAACUACUACCAAGAAUAUUGUGGUCGAGCUCAAUAUAUAGGGGUGAGGAGUUGAAUGGCGAGAAUUAUGAAAUUUGAAGUAUGAAGAUCCAAUAUGUGUUUGAGAAGCAAGAGGCUCUAGAAACACUGAAAGUUUUCAUGGAAGAGCUAGAAAAUGACGUUACAACCCAACAUAGAAGAGAUUAGGAGGCUUACGAGGCUUGGAAAAAGAACUCUAGUGCUCUCAUUACGCUACUGAGCAGUAUGGAUGAUGAUAUCAUGCAAGAGUUCAGAAGGUAUGACAAUACUAAGAACAUGUGGUCCACAUUGAAAGAAAAGUUUGGAGGUACAUCCUAGACAAAACUUAGGUCCCUCAUUAUAAGUUUGUUUAGUAUUGUGGUAGCUGUUGUGAUUGUAGUUUAAAAAAAUUAUUUUAUAAAAAAUAUUUUUAGAUGAGGUUGGUUUGAAAAAAUAAGUGUUUGGUUAAAAUUGUGGUUAAAAUUGAGGUUGAAGAAAAAAUAGUUUAAUGUGUUUGAUUAAUAAUGCUUUUAAAAUUGAGGUUAUAAAAUAAUUUUAAAAAUAUAUAUUAAUAUUGAUGAUUUUUAAUUUAAAUAUUAUGGAUUUAACUAUUGCUAUUAUAUCAUGAAAUAAAUCAUAUUUUAUAUAAAAUAUUUUUUAUUAUUCCAUGAAACCAUUUAUAAUUCCAUUACUUACGAAAUACAUCCGACAAAAACGCAGUUUCCAUAAUAUUUUUAGCAUGUAAUAAAAUUAGAUAAAAUAUUAUCAGGUAUAAAAUUCACUCUAAAUUAGUUUUUUUUAAAAUAAAUGUUUUAAAAAUUAACACAUUACUUCAAAAAAAAAAAAAGGUUCACGCAGGCAAGUGAACAGUGCAAGAGAAUUGCACUAUUCACUAUUUUAAAGUGAACAGUGCAAUUCUCUUGCACUGUUCACAUGUAUACUGUACAUGUUAAUUGCACUAUUCAUUGAACAGUGCAAUUAACAUGAACAGUGAAAAAAAGUAAGAAAUCGCUGCUUUUCUUCUACUGCGUUUCUAACACAGAAAUUAAGUGGGGCCCAGUGAACAGUAUAUCGAUUUUUUUCUUAACCAAACGGCUGCAAACUGCGUUUUAAAUAAAACACAACCGCAGCCGCAGAGCCAAACGGGCUCUUACAAGAAGCGCCCAAAACAUACAAUGAAAAAAUAUUUAAGGCAAAUAUCAAACAUGAUUAGUGAGCUAUAGGACACUGGUCAUACCUUAACGGAUGAGCAACAAGUCUAAGAUGUCAUACGCUCUUUACCUCAUAACCAUGAGCAUAUGAAGAUCCAUUUGACCCCAAUGAAAAUAUCAAAAUGAUGGAAGAUAUAAUAAGCCACCUUAAAUUAGAAAACUAUGAAUAUUGGCGAGCUGGAAAAACAAUAACGAAACCUUUUGCAAAAGAUACUAGAGCAAAAUUUUCAUUUCAAGUAAUUAAUUAUGAUAUUUGUGGUCCAAUAAAUGUGAGGGCAAGACAUGAUGAUGUCUAUUUCAUCACCUUUAUAGAUGAUUUUACUCGAUAUGGUUAUGUCUUUUUUAUUUCUCAUAAAUCAGAAGCUUUAAGUUGCUUCAUAAAAUUUAUAAACCUAGUGGAAAAUCAAUUGGACAUCAAAAUAAGAAUUUUAAGAAUCAAUCAAGGUUGUGAUUAUUUAUCUUAUCAGUUUAGAAAAUUAUAUGAUGAAAAAGGGAUAGAAUGACAAUUGACUAUUCCUAGAAUGCCACAAUAAAAUGGUGUUGUGAAAAAAAGAAAUAGAACUCUAUUUGAAAUGGUUAGUCAAUGAUGACACAAACAAAUUUGCUUAUCACCUAUUGGGGUGAUACACUAUUAAUUGACAUAUAUGUACUUAAUUGUGUACCCUCUAUGUUAGUUACAACUAUGUCAUAUGAAUUAUAGACAAAAUGACAACCCGACUUGAGUUUUUUGAAACCUUAGGGUUAUGUUACUUAUACUCAUGAUUCUUCUCAUAAAUAUGAAAAACGAGGUCUAAAAAGAAAGAAAUGUAUCUUUGUAAGAUAUUUUGAACACUUAAAAGAAUAUGUGUAACAGUUCCGACUAUUUGAUUUUAUCAAUGCUAAAAGCUCCCAACAUAUGCUCUUAAUUUGAGGGUAUUUUUUUUAUACCAGAAUUCUACUAAAAAUUCAGCAGAGUUUCCUUUGUAUGUAGGACAUCCCAAGUUAUUUACUACUAUCAAUCUACCCAUUCAAUCCAUCAUAACAAGGUCUCAUAAUUUGGGACCUUAUUUCAAUCAUUAAUAUUCAACACCUCGUAAAACAAAUCCACACAAUAUAUAUUAAAAGGAUUAAUUACAAGAUAACGUACGAGUCUGGUUCAUUCAUUAUAUCAGAGUUUACAUAACUAAUGUACUACAUUUUGAGCUAAGAUUUUUAUAGACAUUAAGGUUUACACAAAAAGCAUAUUGCACAAUCACGCUAAUUUCAUUAUGCUUAAGUUAAAUAUUUACAUAAGCUUCACAAAGUGGAGUCCUAAAAAACUAAUGAUCUUCCUAGACAUUUGAUGGACCUGUUACACAAACAACUUAGUAAGCAUACCAUUAUGUUGACAAAAGAAAUAUAGAUGAUCAUGUAAUGUAUACUAAUGAAGUAUAAAUUUUCUAUCGAAUCCAUAAGAAUUCUAACAAUCAACUUAUAAUUUGCUUGUAAAGUAUUUAAAACCCAAUUAGAACUCAUUUGCAUAUCCUUAAUUUAAAUACUCUUAUUCACUUGCAUGAACUGGGUGACUUUGUAUAGUUCAACCUGGAUAUUUUUAGGCAAUUAUACUUAUCAAUUUCCCAUGUCAUUCAAACAUGGAUACCUUUUACAAAUCAAGUUUUAUCGAUCGUUCCCGGCAAUCCUAUCACGGAUGUCAUUAGCCAAAGCUAAUCUUGUAAUUCAUCUCCUUGCAAUCCUAUCACGGAUGGCAUUAGCCGAAGCUAAUCUUGUAAAUACUCUAGACUUUAUUUACAUUGAACAUGACAUUAUUGUAAUUGCAUUCACCAGAAAGACCUUAAAUUGCACAAGUGCAAAGAGGAGGGAAAAACCACGCACCUACUCUGCCUGUCUCGUGACGUCCUCCAACAGAAGAUCCAAUCAUGGUCUCUCCCAUGUUUCUGAUUCUCUCUCCCAUGUUUCUUCCUUGAUUUGCAAGCUUCACCAUAAAACUCUAACAAUAAGGAUUUUCUUAUUACGAAGUUCCUUCUCGCCCUAAUCAAGUACUUUUAUCGGUUUCACCUUAAAUGUUAAGUCAUUUUUCACCUCCACUGGCAUUUGAGGUAACACUCUCAAAGGGUCUACGUCAGCUUUUCACAGUAAAGAAACAUGGAAUACAUUGUGAACCUUGGCCAAUUGUGAGGGCAAGUUUAUUUCAUAUGCUACGGGUUCGAUACAUUUCAAGAUUUCAAAUGGUCCAAUGAACCUCGAAGCUAACUUCCCCUUCAUGCCGAAUCUCAACAUAUGUUUCCAUGGAGCUACCUUCAGAAAUACUUUAUCUCAAGGACAAAAUUCAAGGGGUCUUCUUCAAAUAUCUGCAUACUUUUCUAUCUAUCCUGAGCCACCUUUAUUCGAUCCUUAAUGAUCCUCACUUUUUCAGUAGUGAUUUGUACUAAUUCUGCCCCAUACAACUUUCUGUCCCCAACUUCUUCCCAACAUAAUGGUGUUCUACACUUUCUGCCAUAAAGAGCUUCAAAUGGGGUCAUUUUAAUUGUUGUCUGAUAAAUGUUAUUGUACGUGAAUUCUAUUAGUGACAGGUGCUCCUCCCAGAUUCCACUAAAUUCCAAAGCACAUGCCCUUAGUAAAUCCUUUAGGAUCUGAAUAACUCUUUCAGAUUGGCCAUCAGUCUGCGGAUGAAAGGCAAUACUGAUAUUCAAAUUUAUUCCCAAGGCAUGUUGUAUGCUUGGCUAGAGUCAUGAAGUAAACCUUGGGUCUCGGUCUGAAACAAUUGAUAUUGGGACUUCAUGAAGCCUCACAACUUCGUUCAUAUAAAUCUUAGCCACCUUGUCAACUCGAUUCGUCAUUUUAACUGGUAUGAAAAGGGCAAACUUAGUUAGUUGAUCCAUAAUGACCCAUAUUGCAUCAUUUCCCUUCUUCCCCCUCGGUAGACUUGACGCAAAGUCCAUUGUGAUCAUCUCCCAUUUCCACUCAAGGAUUGAUAAUGGUUGUAACAGCCCUGCCGGCUUUCGGUGCUCCACUUUUACUUAUUGGCAAAUACCAUAUUUUGUCACGAAGUCAGCAACUUCUUUUCUCAUAUUUGGCCAUCAGUAGUAUUGUUUUAGAUCCUGGUACAUCUCAGUACUACCUCGAUGUAAAGUGAACUUAGACUUAUGAGCCUCUUGUAGUAACUUUUGUUUAAGGACUUUGUUGUCAGGUACAUACAUGGGUCGCCCCAACACCACAAUUCCAUCAUCCCCCAUUCAAAAAGAGUUUCACUCCCCGAUUUCAGUUUACUUCGUACUUUUAACACUUGAUCAUCAAGUUGUUGUGCCUCUAAUAUUUGCUCUCGAUACCCUAACUUCACCUUUAAUUGAGCCAUUAGGGAUCCUUUCGGACUCACUUUUAAUACUUCCCCCAAUAUCUUUAGCUCAAUCAAAGUUUUCUCAUCCCAGGUUGUUGGUCCACCCAUAAUUGCCUUGUCUUUACGGCUGAGAGCAUCCAUGACUACAUUCACUUAUCCUGGAUGAUAAUCUAUAUUGCAGUCGUAGUCUUUAAUCAAUUCUACCCAUCUCUGUUGUCACGUGUUCAACUCUUUUUGUGACAUCAGAUAUUUAAGGCUCUUAUGAUUUGUGAAAAUUUGAACCCGAGAUCCAUAUAAGUAGUGCCUCCAUACUCGUAAGGCAAAAACUACCGCUGCCAAUUCUAAGUCAUGAACUGGGUAGUUGAUUUGAUGAGUCUUCAGUUGUCUCGAUGUAUAGGCAACUACUCUUCCAUGCUGCAUUAUGACACAACCCGGUCCUUUUCUUGAGGCAUUGUUGUAGACUACAAAGCCUUCUUUUCUGGACGGAAAGAUUAGUACGGGGGUAGUAGUAAGCCUUCUCUUCAAUUCUUGAAAGCUCUCAUCGCACUCCUUUGACCAUUCCCAUCUUGUGUUCUUCCUGGUGAGUCGUGUCAAUGGAGUUGCUAUUGUUGAAAGCCCUUCGAUAAACCUCCUAUAAUAUCCUUCCAAUCCAAGAAAACUAUGGAUUUCAGUUACCGUAGUAGGCCUGGUUGGGCCAAUUUAAGGCCCAACAAUCUCUUCCUCUUUUAUAUAUAUAUAUAUAUAUAUAUAUAUAUAUAUAUAUAUAUAUAUAUAUAUAUAUAUAUAUAUAAAGGUGGGCUAGGUUGAGGGUAAAUCCCAUCUUGCUUUUUGUUUUGUAUGCAAUAAAAGCUUGCUAAAGAAAAAAAAAAGGAGAAAGUUAAAUUGAUGAGUGUGUUGCCCCUACUGGUGGUGGUGAAGGAAGGAGCUACGACUGCUGCUACUGGUAUGACUGAAGGAACUAGAGGGAGGUUUAUGGUGUUGCUUGGGUUGAAGGUUUGCUAUAAUUGCUUUUAGGGCUUCUCUUGAGAGGAUGUUGGCGUUGUUGGAAAAAGCUGGCUGCUGGAAGGAGAAGGAGUUGAAGUUAGUGUUAUUGUUAGGUGGUGUUGUCAUCUGUGGUAAAGGAGAGGGGAUGGUGGAAGGCUGGUCAUGGUAAAGAGAGAAGGUUCCCUCAUAGUCUUCUUUAUGAGGGAAACUGAGUUGCCAUGGGUGUUACUGGAAGUUAUUGUGAAUGGCAAAGGCUAUUUUCUUUGGUGAUGGCUAGAUUAGUUUUCACGUGUUGCUGAAGAAGGAGAAAGGUGGUUGGUAAGGCGGCUGAAAAAAUAAUGGCUUUUGUCUUAUUUUUUCUUCUACCUCCUGAUUGUUUGUGUUAGGGUUGUAUGACAUGUUUAUAGGAGAAAUAGGAAGGUUCUGAGGCUUAUAUACUAAUGAGAUCUCAACUUUUAAUGUUGGAUAAUAGAUCCCAACCAUUCAUUAGAGUUAAGGACAAAAGUUUGUCCUACUCUACAACUGACAAAGGGAGGACCAAGGUUGUUUUUGUAGGCAAAACAAUGUUGGGUAGCGUUUUUAUGAGAUAUUAUGCAGAUGUUUUUAGUACCAUUAGAGUUGGAAUUAUAGCUUGGAGUGAAGUACAAAUUGCAGGGUAUAAGUUAGCACAAGAUUUGUAUGAUAUGAUUGUCACGGUAUCGAGAACGGCAGGUCUGCCUCUUGAAAGUGUGUUGAAAAUAGGGUUUGUGGAUAAUCAUAAAAUUAUGAUUAUGAGAUUAGGAGUUGACACUUAAUAUCAUGGUUACUAAGAAACCGAUGGUCUGCGAAAGUCCGGGUAAAGGACUGGUUAUGGAAGGGGAAGACGCAUCAUCCCCAAUGCCCCCUCCCUAAAGUAAGCUGCAUUGUUGUUUGAUUGUUUUUCUAGGUCGUGUUUCUAUCCAUUGAUCUUGUCUAAGGUUUAAGGUAGAUCUCUCUUAAUGAGAAAGUUUCUACUUUAUUAGGUUAAAGCCUAACUAUUCUAAGACCUAAAUUUUAGCAUCGCAUUUAUUUCCUAAAUAUAAUUAAUUCCUAAUGUUCUGAACAUAAUAAUUGUUAUUCAUAAUAAUUUGGUCAAAUCCUAAUGGAUAAUCAUAAACUAGUUACGAUAUCAAUUUUUACAUUUUUAAAAUAUGAUAAAAAUGAUUUUAUCUUCUUUUUAGAAAAUAUUUAUGAAAAACUUUUAGGAUUUGGUUGUAUGCACGAAAACAAAACACAUUUUUUAAUUUUUUUAAUUUUAAAAAGUUUUAGAGAAAACCGGGAAUUUUUAAUAUCAAAUCUAUAUCUUACAAUGUAAUUCUACAACCUAAUAUUAUACAAAAUUAUUGGAAAAACAUGCAGGGACCCAUAAAUAUUUUUAAAACGUCCUUUGAAAAAUUUGAAGUUUUCUUUUAUUUUUUUAAUUUUUUAAUAUUUGUUUAUUAUUAAAUAUAUUGAGCUGAACUCGGCCCCGCCAUCUGGGUUGGGCUAUAACGGGUCUAGCCCUCAGGGUGGGCGGAUUGGCAGCCCAACAACCUACUCUCCUUUUUUUUGGGGCUAGACCUGGCACAACCAUAUAGGCUAGGCUGAAACAGGUCCAGCCUAUUUUUGCAUGGCCAUUAGCCUAGCCUAGUGACCAUGCUUAAUUAUUUAUGCCACAACAGUUUGGGGGGGGGGGUUGAGGGAAAAAAAGAAGAGGAAAGCUUGCUGGCCAGAGGAGAAAAGUUGUUGGCGGUGUUCCUAUUGGUACAGGGAAGACCAGUGUGUGGUUGUUGGCCACAACAGUGGUGGAGACGCGGUGGUUAUUAUAACGCAAAGGAGACCAGUGGAGGAGAAGAAAAAAAUUAGGGAAAAGCUGAUUUUUUUCCAAAUUUUGGCCUCUGGUUUCUCCCCCUUCAAUACCUGGAAUUCACCCCUAUUUAUAAAGGGUGGAAUAGGGGCAUAUUGUCUUUAUUGGUGAUAAAUUUUGGCCCUUGAUUUAAUUAGGAAAGAUCUUAAUCGUUGGCUCAAAGAUACAAUCAUGGACAAAAAAAGUUUGCAACUAAUGGUUGCCUGAGUUGGCCCUUUUUGGGGCAGCGCGACAGCCACUGUGGUGUCAAUCAGCCAGAAAGAAUCAUAUCGGGGUAUGGUCAAAUAUAAGGCCACCAUGGUGGUGUAUCAAAUUUAGUAAAGAGAUGAAACAUUAAAUGCUCUGAAAAGGUAUCUAGCCGAGCAACUGUUUCAGGCCAAAGGUGGAAGAAGAUGAACACUACCAGACGACAAGCCAUUAGGUUUUUUUCUGUUACUGUUUGGGUAAUAAACCAACGCCGUUUUGGUCAAAACGAAUUGUUUCAUUUAAAUGAAUUGAUGUCACUUUAGCUUUUAAGGUUUUAAUUUAUGGAAUUGACCAAAGUUUAAUUUAAUUCUUUAACUUUUGAUAUCUUUUAAUUGCACCUCUAAUUGACCAUAAACUUUUGAUUUAAUGCAAUUUUACCCUCACUGAACAUCAAUAGCAGCCCUGAAUUUCUGCAUCUUUUUCAUUGUGGUCCUUGGUCUUGGAUUUAUAAAAAUUGACCCUCAAUUGACCAUUAAACUUUCAAUUCUCUUUAAUUUCACCCCUGAUUUCAAUCAAUUUAGUCUCUAGAAUUCGGUGCCUUUUUCAUUUUGAUCCUUGCGUGUGAAUUUCUACAAUUUAACCCUAAUUGACCCUAAAUUUUGAUUUUCUUGCGAUCUUACCCCUGAUUUCAACAAAUUAACUAUGUAAAAAUUAAAUUUAGUCCUCUAAAAUUUCAAUCUUCUUAAUUAAGUCCAAAUUGGGCCCCUAAACUUAUUUUUUUCACUAAUUAAGUCCCUAAUAAAAUUAAUUUGACUAAUUUAAAGUAUAAUUAAUUGAAUCCUUUAAUAUGACCCAAAUUAAUUCUUAAACAUAAUUAAACUAUUUGACCCAUAAUUAAAUCAAAUUGGCAUAUUAAAAAUCUAAUUAUAUCUGUAGGCUUAAUUUUUAUACAGAUUUGUCUAAUAAAUAUUUAAUUUGAUCUUGAAUCUGUAUUGUCGCUCUAGUUUUUGGUAUAAUAGGGUACAACAAGGCUUCUAAUUCCAUCCAAAAUUGCAGCUUGAUUUUUUUGUAUAUUUGGAAUCCCCCUCAGCUUGUUUUUUUUUUUUUCAAAAUGUCAGUCUUUUUGCUAUUAUUAUUUAUUAUUUAUUAUUUUAUUUUAAAAGAAAAAAGGUAAAAUUUUAGGAAAUAAUCCAAAAAUGGUUAUAACAAGGGUGAAGGAGUGAGAGAGAAAUUAUGACUAAAAUAUGGGCACUUCGACAUCUUUUUCUCUUGUUUUAAUAAGAAGAAGAUGAUGAAUAGUGAAAUUAUGGUAUUUUUCAAUUUGGUCCAUAAAUCUUUGGAGCUUUGUAAUGGAACCCCUAAUUAACCCUAAUAUUUUGGAUUCCUUGCAAUUUCACAUUUUGUCUUCUUCAAUUGGACCCUGAAAUCUCUAUGCUUUUUAUAAAGUGGUCCUCAUUCUCGAGAUUCUUCAAUUUAACACCUAAUUGAUUUCACCCAAUUGACUUUGUAAAAAAUAUAUUUGGUCCUCUACAAUUUCAGUCUUCUCAAUUAAGUUCAAACUAGGCUUUAAAAAUUAGUUUUUUACCAACUAAGCUCCUAAUAAAAUUAAUUUGACCUAUUAAAAGUCUAAUUAAGUCCUUGCACUUAAUUAAUUCUUUUAACCUAACUCAAAUUCGUUCUUAAACUUAAUUAAACCUCUAAUUGGGACCAUGAUUAAAUCAAAUUGGCUUAUUAAAGUUAAUUAAGUCCUCAAACUUAAUUUUUAUGCAAAUUCAUCCAAUAAUCAUUUAAUUUCACCUUAAAUCUGCAUUAUCUUUCAAUCUUAGAUACAAUAAGGUACAAUUGGGCUCCUAACUUUGUCCAAAAUUCCAUCUUUGUUCCUUCAUGCUUUUGAAACCCUUUUUAAUCUGCUUUGCUAAUUUGCUAGCCUGUUUUCAUUUUCAUUUUUUUAUUUUUUUUGUUGCUUUUCAUUUUUUUUUUGUUUUUAUUUUUAAAAGAAAAUGACAAUUUUAGGGAAAACCAAAAAUUGGAUUAUGACAAAGGGUCCUACAAAUUAAGAUCUAAUUUGAUAUUAUGUGAGACCCUAAAGAUUAUCAAUAAUAUUUACUUAUGCCCUUAUAACUCUUGUCUGAUUCUCAAGACUUAGAUUCGAUGUUUGUUAUCUUAGUAUGUUAUCAAAGGUUUAUGAAUGGUUUGAUCUACAAGGACUUUAGUAGAAAAACAAGUCAAGUAGAGGUUGAGGGAAUCAAGAAAAGAGAAAGAUCAUUUUGGUAUUAUCAUAUCAACUUGUAUUUAUUGGUCAACCAAUUAUGUCUGUCUAUGUGAUAAGACAUAAUUAUGAAUACAAGAAGUAUAACAAAUGAGAUCAUGAUAAAAAAAAAUAAAGGGUGAAAUAAAUGAUCUAGGGUACUGCAUAUUGUAUCUACUAUAUAUCCCAUUAUUUGAGAAGUUGUAUACUCCUAACAGAUGUAUUGCAACUGAGCUAUAUGCCUAGUCACACAACUUAUUUGUCAAGUGCAGAAAUAAUGAGAGAGUUGAUCCCAUCAUGUGUGAGUAGGAGAAAAUGGAAGAAAUGGUUUUGGGUAAUCCAUGAUGGGUCAACCCAAUCCAUAUUAAUAUUAUUUAUAUUACUAAGGAUUAAUAAGGGGAAAAGGAUAAAGAGUUAUAUCUUAACAAUAACUAUCAAAGGUUGUUACUCUUCACACUUAUAAAUAUAUUGUUAACAAUAAUAGACAAUAACUAAAAAUUAAGAGAGAUAAUAGAGAGAAAUAAAAAGGAUGUAUUUUCUUUCAAAAGAGGAGAAAAGACUCUUGAAGAAGAUUUUCUAUCAAUUCACAUAAGAUUUUGUUAUGGAAAAAAUGGAACACUUAAGUCAUGAAUAAUAAGCAUGAUUCUUUAUUAUUUAAUGAGAUUAUGCUUGGACUAGUGAUACAAGUUUUUUGGACAUGAUUAUUUUUUGUUUCUCUCUUAUGCUAUUUUUCCAACAAUUCUGACAAUGAUGAAUUGCAACGAUUAAUUUCAUUUUUUUCUUUUAUUAACCUGGUUGAUCAAGGUUAACCUCCAAACUAGGUUUAAUAACUAUGAUAUAAAUAGUGAAGCAAGAUUUUUAAAGUGUUUUAAAUAUAUUAGGUAAUUGUUACUACAAAUUAGAAUUGGAAGGGUAAAGGCACAAAGUGAAAACGAUAUGCUACCUGCUUUAUAAAGUUACAUAGGCUCCUAGACGUGUAACCAUGUUGGUCUAUAGCAAACUUGCAAUUGUUAAUUCUGGGUUUUAAUUCUAAGGUUAGUUUUUUGCACUAAACAUAUUUUGAACAAAUCAUGAUGAUUCUUUGAUGAUUAAAGUGAAUUAAUGCUAAAUUAUUGAUCCUCAUGUGAUUUUCAACAUGUAUGUGUUCUUUGUUUGUCCAAAUCUGGUCUGGUUUGAAAGUCAAGUUGUUGGAUUCACUUUGAAUGUUCAUUGGUAUUCUUUGUUUUUAUGUGUUUAAUCCAUUUUGAUAAAGAGUUUUUGAGGUUUUUGUGUUUGUUUAAAAGUUUGAUUUGUUUUGGAUUUUAGUUUAGGUUUUGGUUUGUUUUUCAGGUCAAAGUAGUGGACUUUGGUUCCGUUUAUGGUCGAACCAAAGCUUUUGGGUCAAAGUUGGGUUAAUUGGUAAGGCCUUGUUUGGUUUGUCAAAAUUUUGAUAAAAGAAAUUUUGGUUUAAGGGUAUGUUUGACAAACACCCCCUUAGACCUAUUUUGCCAAUUUUAGUUUUACAGAAAAAUAGUUUCUGCCAAACAAAGCCUAAAUAAAAAAAAUCUUUUUUUCUUGCAUAUGGCCAAAAAUCAUUAAAAUUAUUUCAGCAUUUUCUAAAAAAAUCUAAAAUACUUUGGCAUGUUUAAAAAAAAAAUAUUGCACGGAUUCUACAACAAGUUUGUAAAAUUCCAAAGGAUUUUGACCUAUAUUUAAAAACAUAUAAGAAAUUAUUUUUGGCAAAAAAAUAUAUUACCCAUUUUUAAUAUAAGGAUAAAAAAACCUCUAUGAGGUCAAUAUCUAAAAUAUGAUUGAGAAUAAUAUAACUCAUUCACUUAUAAUAUAAGAAUAAAAAAUUGAAAGAAAUUUUAUCUAAAAUAUUAUUUGGAUGACGCGAUAGCAAAAAAUUCCAAGUUUAUUUUAAAAAAAAGUCUCAAAGAUAAUUGAUGACAUUUUAUAAUUCUAGACCAAGUCCUCGACUUCGAAAAAUAGGGUUUGUUCAUCAUAGCAAACCUGCCAUAGUAGACUAAUAGAAAUAGAAAUAUCAUCAGACCAUAGCAAAUAAAGAGAAGAAGAAAAAAUGCAGCUUACAUCAAGUAAGGCGUACUAGGGAUGCUAAUACCUUUUCUUUACGCAAUCAUUUAUUUGCUUAGAUUUUCUAAAAGACUAGUUAAGGUUCCUAGUAACCAUAAUAUUAGGUGUUGGCUCCUUGAACAACCAAAGACAUUCUCCAAGACUACUUGGAAAGUGUCACCGCAACAUUUAUAUGAGAGUAUGCACACCAAUGAAAACAUAUUUUUGUAUUUUAUUAAAUUAUGAAUUAUGAAUUAUUUUUUUGUAUAAAAAAUCAAAACAUUAUUUGUUUUUAGAAAUGGUUUGAGGUUAGGAAUCAACCUUCUAAGGUUGUUGUGGUUGUUUAGGGACUGUUGGAAAUCUUUCAAGGAUGUUAGGUAAUUCUAGCACCGUGUGGAACCACGCAGCAUCGCCAUUGAUGGCGCGUGGAAUCACUCGUUGUUGCUAUUAGAGGAUGAUCACCUAGUGAAUCUAAAACUCCUUUAUCGCCUCUUCAAUUCCUCAUUGACAGUGCAGUAAACAAACACUUAUAGAGGGAGCUAUGCUUUGUUAAAGUUUUAGUCUUCUUCCUGUUUUUUAGUCCAGAUCUAUCUUUUUAUUAUACUAGUCUAGUUUAUUCCUUCUUGGACUUUCUACUUGCAAAGCAGUAAACAGAUGUUUGUAAAGGGAGCUCUACUAUGUUGAAGUUUCAGUUCUCUUCUUAUUUUUUAGUCUAGGUCUGUCCCUUCUCCCUAAUGUUGUGUUUUAAUAUUGCUACUGGUGGGAGGAAAUUUUACAAGGUUUGACACUAACUCAUCUCCUCUUGGAUUUCCUAUUAGCAGAGCCACAAUUGAAUCUCUAUAGAUGGAGCUCUGUUACGUUUGAUGUCUACUCCUGUUUUUCAACCUAGCUCUAUCUUUUCUUCCUACUACUAUGUUUUAAUUUUGAUAUUGGUGGGAGAAAGUUUUACAAGGUCUAAAACAAAUACAUCCCCUCUUGGAUUCCCCAUUAAAAGUUCCACAAAGAAAUCUCUGUAGAGAAAGCUCUACUACAUUGAGGUUCGAUGUCUACUCCUAUUGUUUUCUUCACAGUUGGUUGCUAUUGCCACUACUUGUAAGGAUUGUUUUGUGAUGAUUUGAGAGUUGUCUUGGGGUGACUUGGAAAUAAACUUUUCUGUUAUGAAAAAUAGUUGUUUGGAUGGUGUUUUAAUGGUUGAAGCUUUGUAUGGUUUGGGGGGUUUUUUUAAGAUGUUUUGGUUAGAGUUUUCAUGGUUUUUUUAAAGUGGUUUUGUGGGCUUUUUGGGCUGAUUUUAGGGUUGUUUCAGGUCUGUUGCAGGGUUAUUUUGAAGAGGUUUAAGGGCUUUUGUAUGGUGAUUGUCACGGGUGGAAGGGGCUGCUAUUAGUUUGAGAGCUGUUUUGGGGUUUCUUUUAGGCUGGAAGGAUUAAGGAAAGGGUUGUUGUAGUCAUGGUUAGGAGGUUUAUUCAUGGCUGUGUUAUGUCCCCCUCCAGGCUCCUUAGGUUAGGAUUUUGUGGGGGGUUUUAAUAGGAGAAACAGGGAGGCUUUGGGGCUUAUAAAUUAAAGGGUAAGACAAUGUAAUUGAUAAAGAAAUGACCAACACUGUUUUUGCAGGCAAGAUAAUGUUGCUUUAAUUUUUGGUAGAGAAUCUACAUGUGUUUUUAAUGCCUAUAAAGCUGGAAUUUUAGCUUAGAGUGAAGUGAAAAUACUAGGGUAUAAGUUAGAAUAAAAUUUGUGUGGUACAGUGAAAAGGUGAGGGAGAAAUUAGGACUGAAAUAUGGGCACUUGGUCAUCAUUUUUUCUUGUUUUAAUAGGAAGAAGAUAAUGAAUAGUGAAAUUAUAGUAUUUUUUAAUUUGAUCCUUAAACCUUUGGAACUUUGUAAUGGAACCCCUAAUCAACCCUAAUAUUUUGUGUUCCUUGCAAUUUCACCCUCAACAUUCAUUGAUUGGACCUUCAAAUUUCUGCUCUUUUUACAAAGUAAUCCUUGAUUUUUAAAUUUUCACAUUUUUUAAUUUAACCCUCAAUUGACUUUCAAACUUCUAAUUUCUUGCAAUUUUAUCCCUAUCUCAUACAAUUGAAUCUAGUCCUCUAAAAUUUCAAUUUUCUCAAUUAAGCUCAAAUUAAACCUCCAAACUUAAUUUUCACGAAUCAAGUCCCUAAUAUAAUUAAUAUAACUCAUUAAAAGUCUAAUUAAGUCCUUGCACUUAAUUAAUUAUUUUUUUCUAACCCAAAUUAAUAUUUAAACUUAAUUAAAUAUUUAAUUGGGCCUAUGAUUAAAUCAAAUUAGCUUAUUAAAAGUCUAAUAAAUUCCUCGGACUUAAUUUUUAUGCAAAUUCAUCCAAUAAUCAUUUAAUUUCACUUUGAAUCUGCAUUAUCUUUCAAUCUUGGAUAAAAUAGGGUUUAAUUGGGCUCUUAAUUUUAUCCAAAAAUUCAUCUUGGUUCCUUCAUGCAUUUGUAACCCCUUUUAGCCUUCUCUUGCCAAGUUACCAUUCUUUUUUCAUUUUUAUUUAUUUAUUUUUUUUGUUUCUUUUCAUUUUUUUCAUUUUUUUAAAAGAAAAUGACAAAAUUGGGUUAUGAAAAUCGUGAUGCCUCUUCCAAGAAGAGUUACAUUCCCUAAAGGUUAACAUGGCCCGCAUCGCUAGCUUGCUUGAGUAAACACUCAAAAACAUCUUUGGUGAAGGCCCGUCCAAUUGGUAUGUGACUUUUGAUUAAAAUCAGGCAACAAUUCAACUACAGUCAACAAUAGUGUAAUACAACUUUUGUGCAGUCAACAAUACCUAUACUGACCCCAACAAUUCUGGAUGCUUUUGUCAAUGAUUCCCACAAGACAAUACUCUAAUGAUAUUGAUCAUGAUAAGAUAGUAGUGUUAGAAGCAAAAGUAAUGGCUAUCAAAAGUGUUAACUUGUAUGAUCUUGUUCAAGCUGCCGAGAUGUGUCUAGUCUUGAAUAUAGUUGUACCAAAAAAGUUUCAUUUACCUGAGUUAUAAAGUUCACCGAAACUCAGUGCCCUGUCACACACCUCAAGUCCUAUUGCAACAAGAUGGUAGAAGUUGUGCAUGAUGAAAAGUUGUUAAUGCAAUUCUUUCAAGAUAGCUUGAGUGGAGUUGUAUUAAGCUGGUAUAUGAGGCUAGACAACAUGAAAAUUGGAAAAUGGAAUGAUCUUGUAGAUGCUUUUAUUAAGAAAUACAAGUACAACAUGGACAUCACUUUAGACAGAUCUAGUUUGCAAUACAUGGAUAGCUUGAGUGGAGCUGCAUUAAGCUGGUGAAUGAGGUUAGACAACAUGAAAAUAUGGAAGUGGAAAGAUCUUGUAGAUGCUUUCAUUAAACAAUACAAGUACAAUAUGGACAUCACUCUAGAUAAAUAUAGCCUGCAAGAUAUGGAAAUGGGUGAUAAAGAAUCUAUCUAGAAAUAUACCUGAGGUGGUUUGGGGUAGCUACUCAGGUGGAUCCUCCACUACUAGAAAAUAAGAUGGUCAGCUUGUUCACCAACAAUUUUAAGAUGCCCAACUUUGAGUUUUUCAUUGGAAAGGUAGUCAAACACUUUACUAACCUAGUGAUUGUGGCUAAAAAGAUAGAACAAACAAUCAAAAAAGGUAAAAUCAAAGGUCCAACCAUGAAAUCUGAAGUCAUGAUGGAACAUGAGUUAGGAAAUGGCUCUCAAAUUAUGAACCUUGGUCGAUCAGAUAUCACUUUAUCAUCAGUUACUCAAACGACAGUAUUAAAGAUCGACAUACCUUUUCCACUGAAAGAUAUUUACCAACAUCUCUUGAACGCCAGACAUAUUAUCCCAGCUCCACCAGAUCUCAUAAAAUCAUCAAUCCCUAGGCGAUACAAUCUAAAUGAGAAAUGCAAAUAACAUGACGGGAUCCUCGACCAUUUAAUCGAAAGUUGUAAGAAUUUCAGGUAUCAAGUCCAGAAGUUAGUAAGAAAGGGGAAAGUUGAGUUUGUGAAGGAUAAUGUCAUCUGUCAUAUUGUCACUAGAUCAUCAUAAGCAUAACAAGGGUUAAUAAACACUAACAAGGCACAAAUUUUGUUGGAGGAGCUGACCUAGUUAGAGUGUUGCAUUGUCAAUAAUUUUGUUAUGAAAAGUUUCUAUUUUGCACUUUGUUUUGGGAUUAAAUCAUAUCUUUUAGUGGAAUAUACCUUUUAUUUGUCUCUUUGUUAUUUUAAAAUGAAGAGAUGUUUAUGUGAAAGUAAUAACUUAUGUUUUUAUUGUUGAAAAUGUUUGAACCUCGAGGUGUGUCAUGAAAAACGCUAGGAGGCAAUUCCACCCUUUUAAAACUCAUGAAAUUGAAUUUUAUAAUUGAUCGCAUGGCUUUAUUCAAAACAUUUUGACCAUAUCAAUUUUGUAAAAAAAACCUUUUUCCCAAAAUAAUUCUAAAAAAUUGAACUUGCUUUUUUAUUUCAGAAAUAAUUUGAUAUUUGCUUAAAAUAAUGUUUAGACACCUUUUUUUAAGGUGACAAAUGAGUCAUUCAAGCAAUUCUCAUUUUGAGGUGACUAGAAAAUUUUGAACUAAGACACAAAAUAAUAAAAAAUGCAUAAAAAUCAUGCAUCUUAUAUCUCUUAAGUCAUAUUUUAGUUGUAUGCAUAAUUGCAUGUAGUUCGAUUUACUAGUCAUUGAUUCAUAAAAACAUAAGUCUUUAUGCAAAAGUUCCAAACAAUUACACUAAACAAGGAUAAAAUUUAUUGAUUUUAACCAUUUGUGCUUGAAAUGAUAGUUGUUACCCAAUUUUUGAGCCAUCUUUUUGAUAAAAUUUUUGAAAAAUCCAAAAAUAGCGAAAAACAACGAAAAUCCAAAAAAAUACAUUUUUUUAAUAUAUUUGCAUCAUUUUUAGCAUUUUCAGCAUCGUCUCAAAAAAAAAUUAAAAUUUUCAAAGGUCUUUAGAACGCGUUUGACUUUUAACGCAUUAUUUUUAAAAUCAAUGAUUUUCUUCAUUUGAGUCGAUAUUGAUAAGAAAAAUCCAAAAAAAUAAGAAAAAUCAAAUUUAUAAAAAAAGAAAGAAGUUGAGGGACCAAGUUUGGGGACCUAACAACAUUUUUGCCUAUAAAUAGGAGUUUCCAACACAUACAAAAGAGGGGAGGGGGCAAUUUUGAAAAAACCAAAGAGAGUAACACAAAAAAAAAACCCUAAACAAAGAACUCUUUGUGCUUCGACUCUAUGAGCCGUCGUGCUCCCUCUUAAGCCAAAGGAGUCGCAGCCCCCACUUCUGAUUUUUUUUUUAAACACAGCCGCCGUCCCCCGGGGUCCUUGGCUUUUGCUCUCCCAGAACUAGAGAGCCAAGGACCCGUAGCCAUUUCAGAUCCUCCCUUCUCCCCCUUCGGCCGCUCAUCCUCGGAAACCAGAACCAACCUACCUCUCCACAGCUGCCCAUCUCUGGUCUGCCUCACAACCAAAGUCGACCGAUCUCUACCUCCAUCUCCCUCACGAGAUCUCCCCUCUCCAUUUUUCCACCACAGACCGACCGUCAUCGUUCCCACAGCAGCUCCAAAUCAGUCCUUUCCUCUCCUGUUCAACCGCAGCAAUCGUCUCCCAGCUUCUCCACCCAAAGCUUUCCCCUUAGUAGCCUCUUCUUCUCCUUCGAGCUCCUCAACAACGAUAGACACAGAUCACGAGAUAGGCCCCAUCUCUUCCCUCUCCAUCGACCACAACGAACCAUCUUUCAUCAGCACAGACGCGGCAAAGCUUCCUUCAUCGACGCAAACCGGCCUCCACCAAACGCAGCGGCACCCCCACUGUCUUCUUCAUCUCUUUCCACUCGCCCACAGACCCGCGGUCCUCCUCCUUGCUAUCAGUUAUCCGAAGCAAAAGAGAAGAAGUGAACCAAAAAAGAUUAGCUUAACCGCAGAUCUGAAAAACAAAGGAAACAGAGAAACAGGUCUGAAAAACAAAAUAGUAAAAGGCUAAAACCAACUGUUUGUGGCGUUGUUUUUUGUUUUGCAGGUCAUCACUGGCGAGGAAGGCAAGAAGGGAGGAAGCUGUUACAGAUCUCCCCUGUUGACUUGAUUUUUUAAGGCGGCGCGUGGAGCAACGUGCCGCCACUGUUCUUGUUGUCCCUGAGGCUUCACAACACUGUUCCCGUGACUUAGAGGCUUCAAGCACUGUUCGUGAUUCUAUUUUGGGGCCUCUUUUUGUAAAUUUAAAUUGUUUAAUGUGUUGUUUAGGUUAUUUUGAACAUUGAUUAUUUUGUAAUAAUUAGUUUUAGGUGUGGUAAAAUAUAGUAAAAAAGUGAUGUGUGUGUUUGUACUAUUUUUUUAUGUAUGUUUUUGAAUGAUAAAAAAUUAAAAAGACAAAAAGAAAAAAAAAUAAAUGUUUUAAUUUGCAUUGAAUUUGGUUUAUAUUUCAAAAAAAAAUCAAAAAAUAUUUUUCUUUUGAUAUCCAGG